rnacentral:lncRNA from 1 species
UAAUCAAGAUCGUAUGUUUAUUAUGCAGUUACACGUAAUCACAACCGAGUUACUCACUUUAUAGAGAUAUGAGUUUUGGACACGCGAUGCUAGAAAUGAAAAACAUGACUCAUGCACUUUACACUUGGCAUAGGAACCAAGAUGAUGAGCCUGUUAUCGCGGAUUCUCUAUGGGUGAAGAACAAAUACUUCUUGUUGGAGGAGGAGAAGACAUUUUGAGAAAGUCUAGAGAUUAAUUAGAUUUGCUUUUCUAGUUAAAAUAUAAACAUACUUUGUUGAAAAUGGUAAGAAAAAAAGAAAGAAAGCUUUUUUUUUAUGAGUGGAAUGAUUGGUACCAUACAUGCAAUCACAUUUUUUUAUAGUGAUAAGAUAUAUAUAAUAUUAUAGCCGGUCUUGAUUUGUGUAAAGAUGAUAAAAAAGUGUGCAAUCUACUUGAUUUUUCUUUCUGUCCAUCCAUUCGCAUGUCCUCUUUCUUUAUGCUACUAGAACAUAAAAUAUUUUUACUGAUGGUGUACCAUCCAUAAUUAUGAGAAUAAAACAAAACUAGAGUUGAAUGAGAAAAAAAUUAAUGUCCAUUAGCUCCACUAAAGAUAUGCGUUUCUCCCACUCCUCCAUUCAAAGCCUGUAUUUUUAAUGUAUACCAUUAGAAGCUUUUAUUAUUAUUUUUUAUUUAUUUUAUUUAUGGUUGAAUGGUGAAGAAAAAACAGAACUGUGUCUCCAUAAAGUUAAUCUGUAUUUUUAUGCAUUCCAUUCAAAGUCUAAAAUGUUUUGAUCUGCACAUAAAAGUAUAAAAGACAGUAGAACAUACUUGUAGUCUUGGUUUUAAAUAGCUUGUAGCGGAAGAAAGCGGUGAACUUAACGCUAACCGCUUCACGCUUUUGGUCAUGUAGCGGUCGCUUUGUGUAUAUAACGACUAAAGAUCCACUUUCAUUAAUAAAACUCUUAAAUCUUAAUUUAAUGCAGUUGUUCCUAAAACAAAAUAUACCAAAACAUCAAUCCAAAAAAAAUGCAAAGACAAAACCAAACAAUCAUUUAAAAGUAUUGCUAGAACUAAAACACUAUAGAAUAAGAUCAUCAUCAUUACCAAGUUCAUAAGAAUCUUGGUAACCCAAAUCAUUUGCUCCUAUAUCCUCUUCAAUCUCAUCAUCAUCAACCAAGGACAUAACACCCUUUCCUUUGUCAACUCUAGCUGAACUUGGAGCAACAUCUUUUUCUUUGUCAAUUCUAGCUGAACUUGAAGCAACACUAUUUCCUCUAGUACGGUAGCUAGGAUCCUUCACUCCUGUAGCCUAGCUAACCACUCUCCAUGUCAAGUCAUCAUCUUCAAACACCAAAUCAUUGUCUUCAUCUGAAGAGUUCCCGUCCAUUCUCCCAAGUAGCCAAUCGUUGCUUUCAUCAAUUUCUUCCAAGAGAAUAGGAUCAGUGGUAUCACUUUGCUUUAUCGACGUUGCAAAGCACGGUUAUAUUUCACAAAAACCAUAUCAUUGAAUCUACUUUGGGCCAUAUGAAGCUGUUAAAAAUAAAGAAUAUAAGCUACAUAAUAUUGUGAAAUUUAAUUCAAAAUACGUACUAAAAAAAACUCAUGUUACUUACAAGUUGAAAAACACCCCAACUUCUCUCACAACCAGUAGCACUACAAGUGAGGCUAAGAACUUUUAUGGCAAAGUUCUUGAGGUAUGGAGCUGAAGAUCCAUAACACGACCACCAUUCCGCUGUUAUAAUAAGAAUUUUGUUAUUUUUCAUCUAAUAUCAUUAUAUUAAUAUAUUUAAAAGCAUACUAUAUUAAAAAAAAGAAAUGACCUGGUGAUUUUUUUGAUCUUUGCCUCUAUGCCAUUGUAUUACCAAAGAUACCAGUUGCAUUUUUAAAUGCAUCCAACUCAUCCAUUAUUUUAUAUCUUGAAUCUCCUGCUCAGGAACCAGCCUUUCAAUGUAUUUAUACAACCCAUUCUCCACUUCCGCACAAAGUACAUCAUCAGGAUGUUCAUACUGGAUCGCUGGAUUCAGAAAAUGACCUGCUGCAUGCAAAGGUCGGUGAAGCUGACAGUCCCAUCUUCUGUCAAUGAUCUCAAAGAUUUUUUUGUACUGCUCCUCCCUCAGAUUGAAACUAUUAGCAAUAGCCUCUUUUGCUUUGUCCAUGGCUGCAUAAAUAUAUCCCAUUGGUGGUUUUCUCUCUCCAUCAACCAUCCUAAGCACACAAACCAGUGGACCUGUCACUUUUAAUGCAUAUAGGAUAUGCCUCCAAAAAGUAUCUUGCAACAGAUACGUUUGCAAUUUCUUUCCUCCAGCUUCUUUUGGCCAUUUAGAAGCAUUCCACUCUUCAGAAGUCACCAUCUUCCUCAAGUUGUUCUGCUGCUUGUGAAAUUGUGAAAGAGUGAUGAAAGAUGUAGCAAAUCUAGUCACAGUAGGCCUAUGCAGAUUGUGUUGGUUUGUGAACCUUCUCAUCAUGUUCACAAGGUUGACAUGACUAUAAAUAUAGCCAUUCAUGUAAGUACAUUUCUUCAAUGUAUUCUUCACUUGUGGUAUUUCUCCAAUGUCUUCCAACAUCAAAUCAAUGCAAUGUGCAGCACAAGGAGUCCAAUAAAGAUUUGGUCGUUUCACCUCUUGUAAUGCCCCUGAAAUUUAUAUUACGAAUAUAAGAUUCAUGUAUAUUAGAAAGAAAAAAAUAGAGUUAUAUAUAUAUAUAUAUAUCUUACCAGUUUUUUAAUACGCUGAUGCAUUGUCCAUUAUGACUUGAACAACAUACUUUUCUCCUACCUCCUCAACCAUUUCAUCAAGCAAGUUAAAUAAGCAAUUUGCAUCUUUCACGACUUCAGAGACAUCUUUCAAUUUGAUGAAAACGGAACCCUUCGGAGAAUUAACUAGAAAGUUAAAAAUAUCUUUCUGUACGACCGAAUCGCGCCAUCCAUCAGACAUAAGAGAGCACCCUUUAGAUGCCCACUCUUUCUUAUUAUCCUCAAUUAGAGCAAGAGUAUCUUCGACUUGUUUCUUAAGAAGAGGAACUCUUAAAUCAUACAUACUCGGUGGCUUCAAUCCUGGACCAUACUGCCCUAUUAACUCAAUAAUCUCUCCAAAACUCUCGUAAGUGACGGCCUUAAAUGCAAGACCAGCAUCAGUAAAUCACCUAGAUAUGCCUAAACAGACCUUGUCCCUUAAUUCUUUAUCACAUGCACCAAAAAAUCCUUUUCUAUCCUUCCUUCCUUGCAUUAUAUUUGCAGGAGUGGAAGUCACAAACCUGUCUAGUGGACCUUUCUGUUUACGCUUUUUAGGCUGUUGAACGUCCAUCUCUUCAUCAUCGCCAUAUUCAUCAAUGUUUUGUGGAGUUGCAUCCAUUAUCUGAGCCGCUUUUGCUUCUGGUUUUUUAAGUUUGUAAUUCAGCAACUCUUCUCUCACGUGUGCUGGACAAUGGGGACAUUUUUUUACGUCUGAACCUUCUCCAGUCAAGUGAUUCUUCAAUUGAGAUAUUCCUCCCUUGGUCACUUGCACACAGUAAAUACACUUCCAAACUAAAUUACUUACUCAAAAAUUACGAGAAGACGUGAAGGAGAUGUGAAGGAGAGGUGCGAGGAGACGUAAGAGGAGAAUAGAUGUUGUUUAGUUUUUUUUUUCUUUCUUAGGUUAGUUAACGGCUAAAUAAAGAAGAUGCAAAGUUAUAAUUUUUUUUGUUAGGGUUUUUUUAUUAAACCACAUGCAUUAAACGAAAUACACAUAAAGCGGCGCUUUACGUUGCUCUUCCUUUCACCUCUAAAACGGUUAAAGCGGUCGCUUUGUGUACACUGCUUUGCUUUGGUGUAUUGAAGCGUUGGUCCCAUCGCUUCCGGUCGCUUCAUGCUAUAGCUAUAGCGUUCGAAGCGGUCACUAUUUAAAACUCAGCUUGUAGUUGUACGCAAUGCAUUUAUCUUGCUUUUUAUUACCUUUUUAUUCCUCUUAAUUGCUUAUAAUAUUAGUGCGGAUCAAGCAGAUUAGACUGUCUGGAACAUAUCGUUAAAUGGAAAAAAAAAACGGAAUAAAUGGUCAAAUAAAGGUAGACCCAUCAUUGAACCACUCUUAGUAAUGUGUAAUUUUACAGUUAUUGUGAUGUAUAUCAUUGUAUAGGGGUGGAAACUGAACUGUAAAUCUGAAAUCAGAGACAAUUUUCCAAAACCAAACUGAACCAAAAUAUAACCUAAAUAGAGUAGAUAUUUCUUUUAAUGAAUUACCUGAUCCUGAACCAAACCAAACUCAAAUUGUAUGAAACCGAAUAUAAAUAUUAGUGUGGAUCAAGUGCUGAUCAGACAGAUUAUGUGGAACAAGUAUUGAUUAGACAGAUCAUACGGAACAAGUUAAAGAGAAAAAAUAGAUUAAAAAUUAUACAUAGCAGGGUAGACUCAUCCAUGACAUUUCUUAAGAAUGUGUAAUAUUAUAGCUAUUGUGAUGUAUACAUUAUAUUAAAGAUGGGAAAAAAUUAUCUAACCAAACUGUAAUUCUCGAACCGAAACUAAAAUUUCCUAAAGCGAACAAAAUCAUAACAUAACUCGAAUGGAAUAUAAAUUCUAUAUUGAAUUAUCAGUUCCAAAAACAAUUUUUUUCUAAUUGUAUAAAAUCAAAUGGAAUUAACCAAAUGGUUCUUCCGACUUUUGUGUUGAUUUUUUUUUAUAUGUUUGUUGGAUCACCUAGAUAAUUGAUUAUUUCUUUCUAUUGAUAGACCUUCAUCAUAUCAUCUUUAAAAUGUCUCAAUUGCAUCAUUAAAGAGCCCUUGACUCUGAUUUGGAUCUCUCAACAUUGAUAAGGGAAUUUCAGGCAUGAUCUGGGAUCCAUGGACAAAUAUUUAUGAUGUAAGGAUUGUCCAAUGAGAAGAAAAUAGUUAUGGCCAAAUCUUAUACUAACAAAUUGAGAGAAGAGAAAAUGUUUCAUCUCUUUGACUACCACCAGAUUCCGAGGAGCUGAUAUUUUUUGUUGCUUAUCUUCGCUAUAAGAAAUUAACAUACCCACCAUGCCAGUAUGAAUUCAGAGAAUUGUUUUUUCAAAAUCAUCAAAAUAUUUUGAAUUUAAUAAGGAGACAAGUUCAGAUUCAUCACCGACGAAUAUCUAGUUUAAUCUUAUCAGUCAAAGUAAUGCCAAAUGCAUUUUAAAAUUUCAUCAGCAAGAUUAUAGCCAACAAAAUGUUUGAUAGAAACAUAAUAUAUUUGAUAUUUUCUACCAAAAAAACCCGUCACAUAGAUAAAAAAAUUGGCAACUUAAUCCCUCAUCUCCAAAAAAUGAAGGUCAACCCUCCACCUACUCGUCAAAAUGUUAUACAACCUUUGUCUAUAUAUAGAUUUUUUUUUUUGUCGACAGCCUAGAUACCUAGAAUGGUUCAGAAAUUUAAACCGGUGGUACCGAAUUUACAUACAUAACAUCGUGAGGAUAGAUCCGUGCACUUCGUGCUAAAUUGUCUGCCUUCAUAUUUUUUGCGCGUGGAAUGUGUGAUAUUGAAAAAAGGUGAAAGCCUCCUUACUCUUCACAAACUCCUCCAAAUGUAAGUCAAAAGCUGGUCAUUCUUCUGGUGUCGACACCAUCUUCACCAAUCCAGAACAGUCUGUUGCAAAAUCUACCUCCGUCUUUUGGUUUGCACUCAUGCAUAGCAUAGCCCAGAUAAGUGCUUCUAGUUCAGCAUGUAGUGGUGAUAAGCUUCGUCAUACAUUCCUUGCUCCUAGUAUUUUUUCUUCCACUCCAUCUUUAAGUAGUAUCAUCCAAGACCCGUCGCUAUUUCCGUGUCUUUCCAAGUCCCAUAUAUAUAGCACCACCAUCUCGCAUAGCAGGAGGUGAUAGAAGGGUGAUAGAAGGGUUGGUUGCCAUUUGAAAUUUGGGUACCGACUUGCUCUGUUGUGCUUCUUCCCAAAGUGUGGCUUCCGUUUCUGCAAUCCGUAGUGUUAUUUGCGGAUCCUUAUCUAUAUUUGAAUACCACUUUUCAUCCAUUGCUUUCAAAAUGUACCAUAUAUAGAUUUUAUAGUAUAAAAACAAGGUUUGAACUCACGACCUGUUUGUAAAAGACCCAUAUACUGAAUAAGUCUAUCGUUUGUGCCAUGAACUGUAAAUCAUUCUUUCAUCAAAGGUAUAUUUAUAUGCGCACAUCUUUUGGAUUGUUCUAUUGCUUGCUAGGUGUAUUUAUCUAAAUCCGAGAUCAGUGGCUCAUAUGAGAUUUACACGAAAUUGAUAAGGAUUCAAAAAUCCAGAGUGGAAGGCUUUAUUCUGACGAGAAUAAAACAAUUCUUCCCAAACACUAAUGUGUUCUUGGAAUAGGUAUGUUUUUUUCAUCAUUAUAUAUAAAGUAGAAACUCUAUAAAGUAAUAUUAGAUAAAUUAAUACACUCAAUAAAUUAAUAUUUUUUUGAUCCAAAUCUCUAUAUAAAUUAAUAACUCUUUAAAUUAAUAACAUAUGAGAGUCCCAAUAUUAUUAACUUAUAGAGUUUUUACUAUAUAUUAAUUUAUAGAGUUUUUACUACUGUUGCGCUUUCAUAUGUACUCUAUUUUAUUUUUCAUAAUAUGAAAGUAUUUGAGAAUUUUUAGGAGCUUAAAUUAAACAAAAAAAUAAAUUACUAGAACCAAGUUGUUUAUAAUAAAAAAAUAAAAAAGAACCUCUAGUUGCUCGAUUAAAUUUAAGUUAAUGUCUAGCCAAAUAAAAUAUUAUAAUAACGCUCCAUGCUUUGGUAUUCAAAAUAUUUAACUCAGUCUUAAGUUUCAAUAUGAUAUACUAGGAGGGGGGGGGAGGGGAGGGGUGUGUUAUUGGUUCAUGAAUUUAAUGGAUAUAAAAAAUUUGGAAAUCCAUGGAUUUUAAAUCUAAUAAAGGUGAAUCUGAAAGUCAAUAAAGUUGAUUUGAAAAUCAAAUAAAGUGGACAUGAAAAUCAAAUAAAGCAGAUUCAUGUCUUAUGAUUUCUAAAUAAAACCAUCGUUGAAUACUAGUUUUGAUAAGUAAUACAACUAUCUCCAUCUAUUGCUAAAAAAAUAUGAAAGAAUCUCACAUUUCUCAUAUUUGUCUUCCCUAAUUGUAUGAAUCCGUUCACAUAUUUGCUGUGAUGGUUUCUCUCCGUUGAUUGGCAUAUUCUCUUUGUUGCUCUUGAUUUACAUGAACUUCAUAAUUAUGGUUAUUAAGUUUUUCAAAAACUUCUUACGCAGUUUUUUUUUGUUUUUUGAGAAAGAUAUCUGUGCCACAAAACUUUCAAAGAAAAUUGUGUAAACCAUCACAGAGAAGUACAAUUUCUGCUUGUGUCUUAUAAGAAAAGAAUCCACAGACUUAAAAAUUAGAAAUUGAGAUUUGAAAAUACCAAAGAUUCUCUCAACUACAUUCUCAAAGAUGCAUGACGAUGGUUAAAUAAUUUUUUCUCAUUCCCUGGUUUCAGAAUUUUUACCAGAAAACUCUUGUAAAUGAUAUCGGACACCAAGAUAAGGAGUUAAGAAAAACUAUAAUUAUGAAUAAAAGACAUGCACCUUCUGGAACUGGUAGUCAAUUAGUGUUUCUUGUCAAAGCAUCAUUUAAUACUUUCGAGCCAUGAGCUAAUUUUUCCCAUCUACUAAGCACAUACAUGAAUUCGACAAUCAAGAUUACAAGCAUCCAACACAUUUCAUGAUAUAACACAUUUUCUAUUGCGAAAGAAGGGGGCGCCUCUUUUUUUUUGGCACUACUGCAAGGAUAUGUGUACCAUCAAUAGCUCCAAUAUAAUCUUAGAUAAAUGGGAAAAAUUAUUUCCAUGAACGAUUAUAUUAACUGAAAACAGAAUAAAAACAAAUAUACCUUAAAAUAUAAAUAAAAUAAUCUUGUACUUUCUUUGAUUUUGGUAGGCACUACGAUCUAAAAUUUAGUUAUGAAAUUUGGUGAAAUUUGGUUUAGACUCUGCAACACUUUAUGAAAAUUUUCACUUUAUUACAUUACAUAACAAACAAAAAUUGAGAAGAGAUAAGGGCACAUACACUGAUGUACAAGAUCAAUUAGGAAGUAUAAACUUCCUAAGAAUUCUCCUUCUCUGUUUAAUGGAGAAGUAAGUUUGACCACUUAAAAAAAAAUUUUAUGUCAAUUUUACAUUUUUAACAAUUAAAGAUUUUUGAAAUGGAAUUUUCUUUUCUGAAUGAAAGAAAAUUUUCUUUGAAAAGAGAAUUUUUAUUUUAUAAUCGUAAAAAAAAAUUAUCCGGUGAUGGUAAUAAAAAAAUUUCUUCUGUAAUUAUUUAAAAAUAAAAAUGUACAUGAUUUGCCAUACUGCAUCCAAUAUCCACACAAAUUCAAAACAAGUUAUUUUAAAAAAAAGUAAUUAUAUGCUGAUUAGCCUUUGGUAUGCUUUGGUUUAAACGAAUAUGUGGUUAAUAAUUAUAACAUGAGUAGAAACAUGAACAAACAAUUUGCCUUCAUCAUAUAUCUAAUGUUCAAAACCGUAGAUGGAAGGAUUCUUCAAAAAAAAAAAAAGAAUCAACAAUACUAAAAAGAAAAAUAAAUAGAGUCGAAUCUAAUAAAUCAGAACUCCUCACUCUACGACACUACACUUAAUUCAACUUUAACGCUCAUCAGUAGACAUACUAGCGAAUACAUCUUUCAUCCCCAAUUGGUGAAUCACUUUAACAACGUCGUAACUGAUAUUUUCCUCCAAAUCAGAGACUUCUUUGAUAGCUUCCCAUAGGUUAUUCUUUUUUUUUUUCAAGUUCUCUUUGUUCAGCCUCUCUUCGUUUUUUUUUUUUGUAAUUCUCUUUCUUGACUAGACUGAAGAGUUCUUCAGCGACAUCUGUCAAGGACUUCAUUUUAGUGUUGACUUCUUCUGCAUAUUCUUGCUGAAUGAUUGGUUCGUCUACAUUAAUAGUAUUACUUCUACGUCUCUUUCUUAAAGGAAGCUUUUCUAAAGACCCCUUUGAACUGCUGUGUAAAAAAAGACGAUGGUGUUUCAUAAUCUUCUACAACAUUCAUGAAAAUUAAUUUGUUAGUUCCUUUAGUGUCAUUCCACUUGUUCGUGCAGAAGUAUCUUCGCCUAAUCCAAUUACAAUCCCACCGGUUGCUAUAUUAUUUUUCAAAAUCACUUUGAGAUCGUCAAAUUCAUUAAACGUUUUAUCAUGAAACUUUUUGUAACUCGGAUGUGCCUAAAUCCAGAUAAAAAAUUGGAUAUCAAAGAAAAAAAUUCUCUAAAAAUAUAUACAAAUUUAUUUGUUUAAUUAAUUUGUACGUGAUUCCCUUCUAGAAGUUCUAACUACAAGUUUUGAUGAUAAUACUCCCACCAAAGAAGAAAUUAUUUGUUGCCUAACAAAAGCUUUCACUUAACUUAUUACUAUCAUCACAACUAAUAAACAAACCUAAUUAACUUGUAAUUUUUGCUUUGUCAUCCCUAUCAAAAUACUAAUGGAUGUAAAGAUCCAAUGACAUAAAUUUAACUUUAGAUAGUCACUCCACACCUCAUCUGAAGCCAUAAACCGUUUUAUGAUUGGAUCCCAUCCAAAUCUAGAGGUGUUGUGAAGAAGUUCAAUACCACUAAGAUAUUUUACCUUCAAAAUUUUCAUUCUAUUUUGGUAGUGUUGAUAUGUUUUGGUACAUCCGUGUUUUUGGUUAAGAAUAGGUGGUAUUGUUUUUUUAGAUAGUAUUUUUCUUUUUACAGUAAACUAACUGAAUGUAUUUUUGAAUAACACCAACCCAAAGCAACACCGUCUAUAGGACCCAGUCCAGAACACUAGCCAAGUAGGUGACGGAUUAGGGUAUCCAAUUUUUUGGAGCAUAAUUUAGUUAAAAGAAAUCUUAUUAGAAUACAUAUAAGUAAACAAAAUUCGUAUGUUAUUUUGAUAAGAUAAUGAUAUUUAUAGGGUUUUUUAAAAAUAUUUUGGGUUUUUCUCUAUAAAAAUAUUGGUUAAGAGCAUAUUUUAAAAGAAUAUUUAUUUUAUUAAAGAAAUUCUGUUUUAGAAAGAAAAAAAAAACUAAACACCACGUUUACAUUUCUCAUCUCUGUUUGGUUUUUUUUUAUAGAUCACGUCUCCGACUCUCCAUUAUCGACAUCAUCUCCAUAUGGAAGUUGCUGAAUUAUUGUUUUAAGAUUUAAAUCUUAUGUAAAUUAGAAAAUAGAAAGGAAAAAAGGAUGUUUAUGAUUCUGAAAUGUGUCUGUGUGUGAGUCAUUACUCUUGAGUUGUGAGUCAUAAAUCAACUGUCAAUUGAUUGAUCAGUUGUCAAUUUUUAUAAUACUUUAUUGAGUCAAUGAGUCAUCUUGGUGAUGGUAAAUAGAAAUAAUUAGUAUUAAUGCUAAUUGCUAUUGCUUUUUACAUAGAAAUGUUUUUUUACGCUUUAAGUUUUUGAAUUAUAUUAUUAGAUUUGUUUUAUUUUAUUUUUUCUUUUCAAUGCAACAAUAGAAAGAUGCCACCAUUCGGAGUAAAAAGAAAAGUAAACCAUGUGGAAUAAAAAAGCCAGUUAUCGGGAGCUGAAAACCGAGAUAAGAAGAAGAAAAAAAGAAGCAUUCAUCAAGUAUAUAGGAGAUUCUAUGCUCAUGUAUGUAAAGAUUGGUCAGCAUGACAAGUUUGAUAAUUCAGAUACUCAAGGAGACGAAGAUGUAGAUGAAGAUGAAGAUGAUAUUGUCGAUGAUAUUUGUCAGAACAACGACGUUGAGAAUUCAGAUGAUUAUAAUGAGACUGGAAAUCAAGGUGAAGAGGAAAGUGAAUAACAAAAGAAAGAUAUUCUGAUCUUAGAAAUUAGAAACACGUUGAUAUGAGAUUGAGAGAUUUAUUGGUUAGUCCUAUGAUGAGGCUACCAAUUGAUUAUAGGUUUCUUAAAGAUAGUAUUGGUAGGCAUUUCUCACAUGAACUCUAUACAAAAAAUAUGGUAAACGAAGAGAAAAAACAUAGGCGAUGGCUGAUAUACUCAAAAGCUUUUGAUAAAGAUUUUUUGUUUUGCUGUAAGUUUUUUAAUCAGGAAAAUAAUGCUGAUUACUUGGUAACCACAGGAUUUUGUGACUGAAAUAAUUUUUCAAAAAGGCUAAAAGAACAUGAAGUUUCUCAUGAUCAUCUUAUUUGCAUGACACAUUAGAAAGAGUUGGAUAUGAGAUAACAAAAAAAUCAAACAAUUGAUAAGUAUGCUCAAGAAGAACUAAAUAUAGAAAAAAAGUAUUGGAAAGAAGUAUCAUUAAUAAUAAUUUCAGUUGUGAAAAUUUUGCUCAAAGAAAUUUUGCACUACAAGAAAACAUCACGAUUCCUGACGUACUUUUUGACGGCUUUCUUGCCGCCAGACAUUGCCGAUGGAAUCCCGACAGAAAACUUAAAAUAAUCGACGGUUAUAAUAUCUUCAGAAAUCGGCCGGGAUUUUCAAUGAAUUGAUGACGGAAUCUUAAUAUAGUCAAUUUUUUUUUAUCUUUCAUCGGAAAUCCAUCAGAAAUAUAAUCAAUUUUCUGUCGGAUAUCUAAAAUUGUCGAUUUUUAAUAGAUCAUCACAAAUUCGUCGGAAAUUUGAUUAUAUUUUUGACGGAUUUCCGAUGAAAGAUAUAUACAUAUUUAAUUUCUAAUAUUUUAUAUUAUUUCUAUUGAAAAUUCGUCGGAAACAUAAUCAAAUUUCCAACGGAUUUCUGACAGAAUUAAUAGAUCAGUUAUUAUAUCUGUUGAACUAGCCGUUUAUAGCCGUUUGAAAGUCGGUCGGAAAUUAGGUCAGAUUUUUCUAUAAAAUACUUUUUCAUUCUCACUCAUAACAUACAAAACAAGGGGGAAAGAACACGUCUUCUUUGAACUCAAACCCCUAUAUUUAUUUUCGAUCAUGGAUUAACAAACACCGUUUUGAUCUAACGACGAGAAAACUAACGGAUGACUAUGCAAGUGGUGUCGAAGAAUUUAUUAUGUUUGCGACAAAGAAUAGUGAGAUCUGGAAAUAGUAAAAUCUAUUGUCCUUGUCAUAAAAGUCGGAAUCACAGAUUAGGCUCUGUUAGAGGACUAUAGAAUCACUUGUUUAGGAAUGGGUUUAUGCCGAGAUAUAAGAUUUGGUAUACCCACGGAGAAACUGAUUCAAUGGUACAUUGUUAUACCAGUGCGUCUGGUGCGAUAGAAGAACCAACACUGGAAAUUCAGAUGGCGAAUGAUGCAAACCUAGGUAGUACAAGAUGGUGAAUCAUGCAUUUCAAGAAAACAUAGCAUCGUAUGUUCAGGAUGGUAAUAGAAUAGAAGAACCUAAUUUAGAAGCCCAAAAGUUUUUUAAUAUGCUAGAUGCAGGUAAGCAACCUUUGUAUGCAGGAUGUAGAGAGGGUAUAUCGCCAUUAUUAACUGCAAGACUAUAAAGAUAAAUUUUAAUUUGGCUGAAGAUUGUGUGCAUGCGAUAGCUGAGUUUGUUAAAGAUAUUUUACCUGAAGAUAAUAUUGUAACAGCUUCAUAUUACAAGAUUCAAAAACUUGUAGGCGGGCUUGGAUUAUCAUUUGAAAUGAUAGAUGUCUGCAUCGACAAUUGUAUGAUAUUCUGGAGGAACGACAAAAAUCGUUUGAAGUGCAAAUUUUGUCACAAACCUCAGUAUCAGGAAACAAGUGGCAGAGUACCUGUUCCACAUAAAAAGAUGUAGUGUUUGUCAUUACAGGAGAGAUUGAAAAGCUUAUAUAAAUCCGAGCGAACAGCAGCUCUAAUGAGAUGUCAUACAUAACACAACUUAGAUGGAGAGAUUGCGCAUCCUUCUUAUGCAGAAGCGUGGAAACAUUUUCAAGAGAUCAAUCUAAUUUUGAGUUUGAGCUGAGAAACGUCUACCUUCAAGAGCUCAAUCUAAUUUUGAGUUUGAGCUGAGAAACGUCUACCUUGGGUUAUCUACGGAUGGAUUCAAAUCUUUUGGUAAGCAUGGGUCGCAAUAUUCUUUGUGGCCAGUAAUUGUCACACCUUAUAAUUUGCCACUAGUUUGUGCAUUAAACGAGAUACUUGUCCUGGACCAGAGCAUUCCAAGAGAUCUCUUGAUAUUUUCUUGCAGCCACUAAUUUAUGAGUUGAAGUUGUCAUGGAAAUAUAACGUUUGGAGCGUUUGAUGUUUCUCUACAAUAGAAUUUUGUAAUGCGAGCAGUUCUUAUGUGGAUGAUAAGCGAUUUUCCGGCAUAUGGUAUGUUAUCUUAAUGGUCCCCUCAUGGAAGAUUAGCCUGUAUGUACUGUCAAGAUAACACUGAUACAUUCCAAUUGCGACACGGACGAAAGAUUUCUUAGUUCGAUUGUCAUCGACGAUUUUUACCCCCGAUCAUCCAUAUCGAAGGAGCACAAUAUUGUUUAGGAAUUAUAAAAAAAUUUAUGAUGCUCCACCUCUCGAGCUACAGGUUUAGUUAUAUUUUAACAAUUAAGAGAUUUUGGUGCUGACAAGAUGGUUUCAUGUGGUGGGAAUGGCCAUGUUCCUAUUUAAGGGUGUGGAGAGUACCACAACUGGAACAAGAAGAGGAUUUUCUUUGAUUUGCCAUAUUGGAAGGAUCAUUUACUUCGGUAUAAUUUUGAUGUGAUGCAUAUUGAGAAAAACUUUUUCAACAUCAUCAUGAAUAUUGUACCUAAUGUGCAAGGGAAGACCAAAGAUAAUAUGAAGGCAAGAUUAGACUUCCCGGAUAUUUUUUUCCCGUAAAAACCUGUACGUAAUGGCAAACGGGAAAUCAGUGCUUCCAGCUUUCUGAUUAGAUGCGUUUUCAAAAGAAGAAUUCUUCGACUGGAUUAAGGAAAGUGUCAAAUUCCCUGAUUGAUAUGCAUCUAAUCUGUGUAACUGCGUUGAUAGUGGAUAAGGUAAGUUGUGUGGGAUGAAGAGUCAUGAUUGCCAUAAUUUUAAGCAACACCUCUUUACAUUUGCUUUUGCCGGUCUUCUACCCUAAAAACAUUCAUGGAGCUAUCGCAGAUAAAUUUAAUUACUAGUAACUUAUUAUUAUAAUUAACUGAUUAUAUAUGUACAUAUAUACAAAUUAUUUUAAGUACUUUUGUGUCCUUUAUGCACGUAUCAGUGCGUUCUUCCGAGAUCUGUGCACGAGAUCACCUACAGUAGGCGGUAUCCGGAAUUUAGAGAAAAAGAUACCUGUUAUCCUAUGCAAUCUUGAGAAAAUAUUUCCAUCAGCCUUUUUUAUGUUAUGGAACAUCUUCUUAUUCAUCUCCCAAGGGAAGCAGCACUUGGAGGACCGUGCAGUAUAGAUGGAUAUAUCAUUUUGAACGAUAUAUGUUCCACCUAAAGAAGAAGGUGAAAAAUCUUGCAAGAGUUGAAGGUUCUAUUGUCGCACAGAGCAUUAAUGAAGAGACGUCAAAUUUUGCCGGCUACUACUUUUCAUCAUCAGUAAAAACUAAAAGCAGAAGACCAGCACGACAUAAUGAUUGAGAUGUGCCACGGACUUAUCCAGUGGAAGUCCCAAACAUACUUACACAAAUUGGAAGGGUUAGUGGAAAAGGUAGGCCUUGACGACUAAUCGAAGAGGAACAACAACACCUGCAUAUGUAUAUUUUAUCAAACUGAGAUGAAAUUUUAAAAUAUGAGAGGAUGUACAUGUCGCAAAUACGUGAAUAGUUUCCAAGUUAUACAGAGGAUGAGCUUAUGACCCAUAACUAGAAAGACUUCACAGGAUGGUUGAAAUGGCACGUAAGUAUGACAGAACAGCGUAAUAAAGUUUUUUCGUACUUACGAUAUUCAAAAUUUUGUACAGGUUACUUCGAUGAUUAGUAGAGGAGUUUCAUUCCUCAAUUGGCUAGUUGAGAUGGUGUGUGGCCCAUUGUUUAUUGCAACAUUGUAUCCAAUGUAUUGCACUCGGGGUUAUGCUUUUAAGGCAUUUAAAGAAAAGAGCUCAAUGAUAACUUCCAAUUACAGUAUAUCAUCUACAACUGGGGAUUUUGUCUACUAUGGUGUACUCCGUGAAAUACUAGUAGUCCAAUACCCUGGAAUGAUUGAAUUAAAGUGCAUUGUGUUUUAUUGCAAUUGGUAUAAUCUAGUGGAAGGUCUACGCCACAAUCAAUUCAGUGUCCCUUCUAUACACUCCCGAAAGCGACUUCGGAAAUAUGAUCUAUUCAUACUUGUUCACAAGUGGAUUAGGUAUGCUACAUAAGAUACCCCUGUGUUACAAACAAACAAGAUCCAUGGAUGAGACUUACCAUAAUACACCCAUGAGAAAGGGUAUAUGGUGUUUCUAAAAACGAGCCAUUACAGGAAAAUGUCACCGGUAAUUUAGGAGAGAUCAAACCAACCCUUGAAGAAGUUGACCUUGUUGUUGACGUUACUGGUAUGGAAGACGAUUAUGUAGUUUUUGCUCAUUCGGAGCCAGAGAUUGGCGAGUUUGACGAGAAUUCUGAUUCCGAUAGUUCCGAAUAUUUUUCUGAUUCAUAAUAAAUUUUUAAUACUAUUUAUACUAUUCUGUAAAAUGUAAUUUUCAUAUGUUUCAGGAUUUUAAAAUACUCAUAUAUUGUUAAAAUUAUAUGCUUUGCUCCAAUAUGAUUUUUUCACUAUUUUACCAGAAAUGAAAAAAGAACUAUGUCAAUCUAUAUUGAGAUUCUAUGUUUUUAGAAUUUUUAAUAAUAAAUAUGAUCAUUAUUAUAACAAUAAUAAUAAAUAUUAUCAAAUCAUAAACCCUAAACAAUAAUCCAUCGGUAUUCCGACAGAAAUGAUAAAAAAUAUUUUCCACAUGUGUUUUUAAAAACCGUUAGAAAUCAGUUGGCAAUUUAUGACAGAUUGCCAAUAGAUCACAAAUAUUUGUGACAGAUUUCCGACGGCAGUCCGAUGAAUAAGGGUUCAGAAACAUCGAAAUUGAUUUUUUUUUUUUACAAUCAUGAUUGUUAUGAUUAUAUUAGCUAUUAUAAAGGAGUUAGAUGUUAUUUUAUCUCAAAAUUAGAUUUUUUUCAUCAUUUAACCAAAGAUAUAUACCAAACCCUAAAACUAACCUUAAGUUCUAUAUAUUUCUAUGAAGGUUACAUGUUGGUCAUUAGGAGAUUUCACAAAUCAUCAUAACUUUUGUUUUAUGUUCAUUUAUAAGGUAAAUGUUGUUAGAUGAAUCUAAUCAUCUAUUUUAAAGACUAAUCUGAUUAAAUUUUGCAAUUUUUUAUACCCUAAUUAAUACUCCGUCUGAAAUAGGUCGGAAAUGUGUAAAUGUCCCAAAUUUUCCUUUGGAAAAUAGAAUAAUAGAUCCUCAUGAACAAAAUUUGAUGUAUUUUAUGUAUCUAGAUGCUUUCUAAUGAAUAUAAAACAUGUUUAACAAAACCAUCUACACUUAGGAAAAAUUUGGGAAAUUAACCUAUUCCGACGGCUUUCGGAAAUUUGAUGAUUUUUUCUAUUGUUUUAUAUGUGCCCACACAUGUUUGAGGCGGGGAAAAGAUAUUUUUUUUUGUAUUUUCCGUCGGAAAUCCCGACUGGUUUAUGGCGGAAACAAAAAUUUACCCGCGAAAUUAUAUCGCCUGAUGCCCGACAGAAAUCUAAUAUAUUAUCAACCGAUUCCUGAUGCGAAUUCUUCUCCCUUCUCAGAUUUCUAGUCGAUAUAGACCUGCUCGCCGCUGAUUUCGUCAAAAUCCGCUGGAUCUGGACCUGCUCGCCGCCGAUCUACUUUCAUUCUCAGGUUUCUCAUCUUCUCCAUUUCUGUUUUUCUCUCUCUCUCUUAUCUUCUCUUCACUUAUUUUCUCUGAUGGUUUUUUUCAGGUUCACCGCCGUGUGGUCGCCGUUGCCUGGUCGCCUCCGCUGCAAGAUCUCCUUCGUCGUCGCUUGCUCGCCGCCGGACCUCCUUAAAGCCUCACCUGAAGAUACGUAAGUUUCAUUUUUAACCAAAUUCUUUGAGUUUUAUUAGAAUUUUGUUAGAUUAGGUUUAUUAAUUAUGGAAAAUUAUUUUGUUAGAUAAGGUUUUGUUAGAUUAUUGAUUUUGGUUUGGUUAUUCAACAUUAGAUUUGUAAGUUUUGCUAGAUUAUUUAUUAGAAUUUGUUAGAAUUGUAUUAGAAUUUAUCCUAAAUUUUGUUCUAAUUUUAGAAAAAUAUUAGAUUUUCUAUUUGUUAGAAUUUAUUCUAGAUUAUAUUUUGUAAACUUAUUUGUUAGAAGCAAAUCGUUAGAUUUUUCUAUGUUAGAUUUUUAAAAUUAAAAUUGUAAAAUAUUAUCUAGUAAAAUUAAUAGAUUUCUUAGAUAUAUCAGAUAUAUUAAAAAAAAAUGAAAUUACAAUAAUUUUUUAUAUGUAUAUAAGAAAUGGAAUUUGUUUUUAAUUGAACUACAAUAACUUUUUUUUUUCAGAAAUCUGUUCUUAUUAAUUUAUAGAUAAUUAUAAAAACUUUUUUUGAAAGAUACCUGAUAUGUUCAUAAAUUACAUCAUUUAGCUUGCAUGUUUAGGUCCAAAUCAUGUCUUAUUUCAUGCAUUUUAGGUCCUUGGGCAUUGUUAUAGGACUUAGGGGUUUGCAUUAGGUCCAAAUGAGUCUUUGCAUGGUUUGAAGUCUUUAUCAGGUGCUUUUGAGGCUGUUUGGAGCAGAAAAGAUGUGAUCAGGAGUUGAAACGGUGAAUAAAAGGGUCAGAAAUGGUGAAAAUGGCCUAAAGGAGUUUAUCGGCAAGAUCGUGCACCGCAGGAAUGAGAAUCUCGGCUAAAAAUGCUGUCGGGUGGAUUUCUCUCGGCCAAAACCAGUAUCGGUUGAAGAUUUAUCGGCUAAAACUUUGUGCUGAGCAGGAUGGAUUUUUAUCGACUAAAAAGAUUACCGCGGGAUGUGAUUCUCGAAUAUUUUCCUUACCGCGGUGCAUAAGUUCUCGGCUAAAACUUGUUUUGUGAUGCGCGCCAAAGAUUGCCUGUUCGAGGAAGCUUCCAGUCCGAUUCAGCUGUCGGGGUCUUCAUAAAAGUUGGAGAGGAUCGAUUCAAAGUUCCAUAACAGUUCUAACUACUGAAUUCGGACCAGUGAACAGAGAGUUAAGGCCAUCAGGAGACACACCUUUCUCGCUUCCGUUUUAAGCCGAUCCAAUGAGCUUCAAAGAUUACGAGACGAUGCCUUUCCAGUCAGAUUUAGUUGUCAGAGCUUUCAUCAAGAUUCAAGGUAUUUGAGUUCUCUCUACAGAACAUCUCAUUUCACCCAAUUUGGAGCUAUGUGCUAAGAGAUACCGUCUCCGGAGUGAACGCGAGUCCAGGAGCUUCUUUCUGAGCGUUCCGAUAUAUUGCAAAGAUUGGCCGUCCGGGGAACCUUUCACUCCCCGGAUGCUAAUGGGUCAUUCACCAAAGUUUGAGAUGGCUGAGUGAUCUUUCUUUUGGAUCUGAUUUUAAGUCAUUUGGAGUUAUGAGCUGAAUGUUAUUGCGAUCAGGAGACAAGCGGGUCGAUACAGGCUUUUGAGAGUUGCGCCUGGUGCUAAGUGUUUUAGCAAGUCUCGGUGUUGUUUCCUCGACAUUUUCUUACACCGAGGCCAGUUUCCGAAGCUUUUUGGUCUAAACCUCGAGCUGAUUCUUCGGUCAUUCAACACGAGGCAUGCAUGUUGAAGAAAUAAGUCUGAAAACGACUAAGUGUUGAAGCUGAGCAUCUAUGCGGUUUGGUUUGAAAUUUGUCUAAGUGUGGAACUGGACCUCGGCUUCAACCCCUCGACAUUUCACCUCGGACUCUCUCUUCCUGACCCCCUCGACUGAUGCAGCGCAUCAUUAUCUCUUUUUUGUGUGUCUUACGUUUUUCCUUUUACUUUAGUUAAUUACUUUCCUUUUAUCUUAUUUCUUUAGUUUGAGAAGAUUAGGGUUUCAGUGUUUUUUAUAUCUUCUCUAUUAUAUAAGGCUCGCCCUUAGUUUAUUGUAAGACAACUUUGGCUUAUUGAAAUUUUAAGAGAAUCUCUCUUUUCUGAAAUCGAACUCGUCAUAGAAUUCUCAGGAAGAACUCUUGUCCGAAUUCGUCUCUAAGAGCUUUGAUCCAUGAGAUCGAAGAAUACUUGGUGUUUACGCUACUCCGUUGCUACAAUUCCUCGACCAAGUCCCCUCGGUGUACACACCGAGGUGACAUCUUGCCGAAUCAAUAUGAUCAAAACCUCGAGCUAGCUCCACGGCUUGUCUAUACCGAGGUGCAAGGUUUCCGAAUGAAAUGCACUAGACCUCGGCCUAACUCCACGGUGUAUCCAUACCGAGGCCACCGAAACAAAAUCCCAGAUCAAGAACACAUUUCUCUAACGGUCACACGCGAAGAUGGAUCAAAGACUAGGGUUCAUGCAUGUUCUUGAUGAAUUCUUCAUUUCAACACAAGUUUGCAUGAGGCCCUCAACAUGAACACCUCGGCUUUGGACUUUCACACACCGAGAAGCUCACCCAUCUCUCCAAGAAGACCGGUUCAGUACCCGGUUUGUUCCGGGCUGACCCACAUCACGUAGCAACACCAUAAAUAGUUUUAGGGACUAAAACCCUACUUAUCUUUUAUAUUAUCCUUUUAUCCUUGAGAGAACUUGUCUAUUUUAAGUAAAACUUGCUGCUUUUAUAAGAGAUAUCUCGUUUUGCAUCUAAAAGUCUUGUUCUCAUCAUUUCUUUUCAUCCACUACAAAAAAGCAAAUAUUGUUAUGAAAAAAUUGUAACUAAUUGUUAUGUAACAAUUUUGUGAUGAUUUUCAUACGAAAAUGUGACAAAAGUCGUUAGUCACAAAAACGUUACUAUUUCCGUCAUAAUAUUGUUACUGAUUGAAGAUAACAAAUUUCUGUCACUAUUAAUGACCUAAUUGUUACAAAAUAUAUAGUCACAAAUAUUGUUACGAAUUUGUGACGUCAUAAAGUAACAAAAUAAUACGAAUUUGUGACUAAACAUAAGUCAUUCAUGGUUACAAAUAUUUUGUAAGUACGACAUCACAACUAGUCACUGUAUUAGUGACUUUUGUAAUUUGGUCAUAGAUAGUGAUGUUUUUAUUAUUGUUUUGUGACAAAAUAAAAAUUAAUGAAUUGAAAAUAAAAAAAUAGUUUUAAUUCAAGAAAAAAAAUUCAAGAUACAUAAUAACUUUAAAAAAUAACAUAAUAAAAUGUAAAAGAAAAAAAUUAUUAUCAGUAUUUGUGAUCUUCACUCUAGCUCUGGAUAUGCACAUGACCUACAUAAAAUUAGCAAAAGAAAUGAAUUAGUCAGAAGUUACCAAUACAAGAAAUAAAUCAAAACAAAAAAUUAAUAAUCUAUAUGCAUAAUAUAAAGACGAAAACCUUUUAAAAAAUUCAAGUUCUAGGUAUAGAAAAAAUAAAAAUAAAAAGAUCAGUUCAAAAACCACAACACAAGACGUUUUAUGAAAAAAAAAAUUUAGCAACUGAUUGUGGUGGUGAGUGAGGGUUGUCAAGUUUUACCCUAAACGAAAUCAAUAGCCGCAAGUGCACAGCUGAUCGAUUGUAGUACUUAGGGAUCGAAUCCACAGGGAAGGAGGAUCUUUUCCUGCAAAAAGCCUUUGAAAUAAGUAUAAAGUAAGGAAGUCUAGAACCAAAACGGUUUUGUGGGGGUUUGGUGGUGUGUUUAAAAUGUAAAAACGAAAUCUUAAAAGAAAAUACGGGAAUUAAAUGACCUAAUAACUAAACUUAACGAAAAUGAAUAAAAAUGAGAGAAACGGAUAUUCUAAUUGCUUAAAUGAAAAUCUACUAAAAAGGAAAGACACUAAUGAACUAAAGCUUGAAAUAAAAACGGUGUAAAUCAAUAAGAAAGAAGGCGUUGGGGUUCAGGGAAGUUUUCUCAGGGGUACGAACAAUUCAAAACAUUGCUAGAGAGUAAAUUUGAUAAGAUCUUAGCUUAAAUUUUUCGAACUGGAGUCACGGACGUAUGAAUACGCCACUGUCGUGAUCAUAGACAACUAUCUCUCUCAACCCUGACCAGUAGGUUUCCACUCUGGCCCUGGAAGAGAAGAGAUGCAUUAUGUUUAAGACUCGUCCUCAUUCACAAAUCGCCCAUAGGUAGGUUUCCACUCCGAUGGUUGUUUUGCUCUCCCAAACUAGAUCUGACACCGGAUGAACACUUUCGUGUCACCAAGCAUCUGGAUCAGAUUGUAGUUCAUGACACUACUCUCAUGCAGUAAAAACGAAUUCAGAAGAAAAAGUUCUAAGAUUCGACUCAAAAGCACAUGGAAUCCUCAUCGAACAUAUAAAUCCCCAUCGAAAAUUCCUUAAUCCCAACAAUAAAACUACUCAGACAUAAUGAAUAGAAUCAAAAACAUAGUAUUAAUAAGUAGAAUAGAAACCGAAAUUGAAAAAAAAGAACAAGGUUUCAAGAGAAGAAAUCUCUCUCUCCCUAUAAGCUAAAGCAAAAACAAUAAAAGUAUGAAGUAAAAAUUCGGUGGUCUAUGAUCGUUCUUCGAUUAGGGUUCCUAAAACAUGUAUUUAUAGUGCUCUGGACGUCACUUAGGGUUUCUCCAAAUGAGGGAAUCAUUGUGGGCUUCAGAAAUGGGCUUUUGGGGUCGGAUUUGGCUUGACGCGGUCGGGAGUGCUGCGACCGCGGGGAAUGAGUGGUUUGCCGCGGUCGGGAUGCUUCUGACCGCGGGAAAUGGCCUGUUGGCCGCGGGUGGAAAUGCUCGCCGGCUGGUUUACGGGACAUCUUGCUCUUCGCGUAUCUUUUGAUUGAACCGUUGGAAUGCCAAGCUGUAAAGUGUGCUGGAAAGCUGAUACUUCCAUCUUUAAGGUCUCCAAAUUUGAGCUGGAUCAGACGGUGAGAAGGCCUUCAAUCAGGGGUGAACUUCUGACGGUUUGACUCUGAGCUGAAAUCUGGUUUUCUAUCCAUUUUGUUAAGCUUUUCCCUAAGUUACCUAAAAAGAGUCUUGGAACUACAAAUACUAGAAAAACGUAAUAAAAGUACUUAAAAGCAAUUAAAAACAUAGAAAAAGUAUUUCAAAACGAUCCAUAAAAGUGGUCAAAUACGAUGUUAUCAACUCCCCCAGACUUAAACCUUUGUUUGUCCUCAAACAAAGCAAAAGCAUAAACUGGUUAAGUGAAAACAAAAAUAGGGAAUGCACAAAUCUCAUAGACAUGAACUCCUAAACUAGGACCAAAGAUAGUGCAUCAAUCCACAACUUAGUCUAGAAAAUUCUCACCAAUGCACAAGAGAUACUAGUCCACUUUUUCCGUCAUGCAAAACUUAAACAAUUUAAAUCUUGAUUCCAGUCAACUAGCUCUCUACAUUCAUUAAGUUCAAUAGUGAGUUCUCAUUAAAGACAUCAUCCAGGGUAGACGGCGUUUGGCAUUAAAGGGCUAUUUAAGUGGUGGAGUUAAAGUGUUUUUGGGUUACCUGAACAUCUUGAGGAUGCAAGAUAAUAUGCAAAAUCGCAAGAGAGAUAAGGACUUGUUGAUGACCACAGUUUUCAGUUACUUCUUCUUGCCAAAUGUUGUUGCAUAAUCCUUCCUCCUUUCUUGUAAACAGCUAUUCCCCUAGACUUAGAUUCUUUCCGGGAAUCAGAAAACAAUCUCCAAAACUCCAUAAAAUCAAACUCCAGUUGCCUUGGGACUUAAAAUUCGACCUCUCUAGACUCUCUAAGGCUUUUAUUUCCUUUCUUUUCUUAUUUUCGGAUUUUUUUUUUUUGAAAAGGAAAUGCCUUUUUAAGAGAGAGAGAGACUAGAGGACGAGAUUGUACCAAAAUUUGAGAUUUUUCUAAGGCAAACUGAGCUUCCUCUUGUGUUGAAUCCUUCUGGGAAGUUUUCCGGCAAAUCGCAGGUCUCUGUCCUUGGUGACUGAAAACUGCGUCGUUCCUCUUUCUCUCCAACGUUUUUGCACUUAUCUGCAUAUAAGACAAUAGAAAACAAGAGUGCAUGUGGUUUGAAAGAGGAUUGGUUAAGGUGGGGAACUAGCUAAAGAUGAACUAGCCAUUCAGGAUCAACAGAGAGUGGUAAAAGGAUAAAGGAGUCCUGAAUUUAUGAUUCGUUUCCCUGGUCUAAUGCUCAAUGAGAAAAUUAAGUCCAAAUUAAGUUCAAAUAAAACAGAGGUAGUGUAUCCCUUCAUCUAAAUCGAAAUCAUUCAAAUUCCUCUGGGGUACUUCGUUUCAAAUGUGCUUAGCUACCGCCUAGUCUUGUCCUAAAUCAUGAAUGAGCAUGUCACUAGGAACAGUCUAAAGCACACAGUCAACUAUCAUUGAUUCAUGUUCACCAUUCCCUUUAAAACGUAUUUUGUUUUGAAAACCGAUUUUGAAAAACUUUAAGGAAGAUGCAAAAAGUGUAGAAAAUGCAAGACUCAUGAAAGAAAAGUGGUUAGAAAGGGAUGAAAUCCUCCCCCAGACUUAAAUCACACUGUCCUCAGUGUGAAACAAGUCGAGAUUGGAUGAGAAAAAUGCAUAGAUAAUCGAAUUGGUAAGGACAAAGAGAACUUACCUGGAUCCGGGAUGCUGGUGGAGAUGAACCGGAUUCAUUCAAAGGGGUUUGGAAAGGUGAUAGGUGGUGAUGAAGGUGGUGGAGGGUGAUGAAUGAGGUGGACUGGGGAUUGGUGAGGUGAAAUGAGGUGAAGUGGGUGGUUUGGGGUCGGGUUUGAUCUCAACGACCAAUUGCCGCGGUCAGGGGUCGCGCGACCGCGGCAAACAAGUACUUGGCCGUGGUCAGGAUUACGCGACCGCGGUCGAUGGUGUGUUUCCUGCGGUCAGAAUGUCUGCGACCGCGGGGGCUUAUUUCGCGGCCUCUUCCUGCUUCUCCUUGGUUCUUGCUGGGCCGAGCAGUCAGGUACCAUCCUUCUUUUUGGUUUUUUCGGUUUUUUUUGAUUUUUUGGCUUUUUUGUUUUAUAAGAAACACCUGAAACUAAGAAAAAGAAAAAGAUCAAAAAAAAAAAAAAUCCUAAAGAAAACAAUACCUAAAUGGAUUGCCUCCCAUUAAGCGCUUUUGUUUUAAGUCGUUUAGCUCGACUUUUGGUAUUGGACGUGACUUAUUCCAAUGAAGAAGACCUUGUCAUGAGACAAGUCUUUUUCGACAUCUCCUUGCUUUGCCUAGCAGGUUCUUCGUCACUCCAAAGUUCUUCUUCAAACUCUUCUGUUGCAGAACGUUUUCCUGCUUUGCUGUUGUAUGGGACCGCUUCUGUGAAAACAUCUUUGUCGAUGUUAGCAAAUGAAAUCCUCCGGUUUGGCCAGUCCGUUAUAGCUCCGGAAGUUGCUAGAAAAGACCAUCCGAGAAUCACUGGAUAUGUUGCAUCUCUCGUUACGACAAUGUAGAAGUCGACAGGCACUAUGCAAUCUCCUAUUCUCAAAGGAAUUUCAUGAGCUAUUCCUUGAGGUGUUGCAUUUGAAUCAUCAGCUAGACUAAUCUUUGCUCUAGUCCUGCGCAGGUGUUUAAUACCAAGUCUCAAAGCAAUUGCCUUGGACAUCAUGUUAAGACAAGCUCCAGAAUUACAUAGCACGUUUUUAAACAUUUCUCCUCUAAUAGAACAAGAGAUAAGAAACUGACCUACACCUUCGAUUUUGUGAAGUGUUCGAACAAGUUUACCUCUUCUGGCAUGAUUGAACAAGUUUUCUAUCUCAGGGAUUGAUUCUUUGCUCUCACAGAAGUAGUGGCCUAUCAUGAAAUCCUUGCAAGCUCUGGCAAACAUGAUUCCUUCAGGCAAAUUUCAAACCACAUCAUUAAAUUCGUCGAGCUUCUCUUUGCUGAUUUUGUUGGUGUAGUGGCUGCAGUCUUCCGGUUUUUUGAGGUGAAUCGCAUAGACAGCUGCUUCUGGUGUUGUCAUGUAUCGAGCUCUCAUAAAGUAUCUAUGGAUAUCCUCUUUAGACUCCUUGCAGUACCUGAAAAAUACUUGCAAACGACCAAGUUUCCAGAUUUCAUCAAAGCUUAAAUGAGCAGGGAAUGACCUGACUACGUUGUUGAACUCCAUUAGUUUUUCUCUACUGAUGUUGUUGGUGAUCCAUUGAAUUUCUCCUGAGUCGUCUUCUGAGGAAUAUCCUGCGUUUGGAUCUUCUACAAACAACCCAUACUCUUCAUCUUCAGAGUAUUGCUCUUCAUACUCAUCUUCACAAGACAAAGCCAUGUUGCAAGGCCAUGACUUGUCCUCUUCUUCAGAUCUUUGGGUGCUAAUGGAGCAAACCAGUUGUUGAUGGAGUGGUUUAGUCAUCCCAGGAGGUGUACCAGACGUACAGAUGCUUGUAUGAGCUGAACGAGACUGUUUUGGGACGUUUUUACGGUUGGCCUUGACUGCAGGUGACGCGACCGCGGGGAAGCGACUAUGGGCCGCGGGCAGGCCUAACACGACCGCGGGAGAGUGCUUGUUGGCCACAGUCGGAGCCAACGCGACUGCAGGGAUUUGUCUCCGAGUUGCUUUGCUGCUGUUGCUUCCUCCUUUGCUUCCUGGAUGGUCUCCUGGAUCUUCUGGCUUGAUGUACUUCCUCUCUGGACUUGAGUCUUUAGUUUUGGUCGCUGGAAUCUGCUCUCCAAGUCCUUUCAUGAUCUCUUCAACCUUUUAUUCAACUUCAUCAAGAGCAUAGACUACUUUGUCCGUGGUUGAGUCAAGCUCUUCGGUUUUGUCAAUGACCUUGUAAACUUUCUCUGAAACUUUGACUGUGAAGUCAUAAGACUCGUUCUUAGCUUCGUUUAGGGCUUUUUCCACAUCAUCAAGUUUGAAAUCCAGGUCCAUGACUUUGUUUUUGGUGUUGCGAAGCUCAUAGGUGUGCUUUGCUUGCUCUUCCUCCAUGCUGUUGAACCUGUUAGCGAUCAUAGCUGCGUCCUUGGUUGCAAGUUCUUCUAUUGAAUUGACUUGUGAGGCUAGGUUAUCGAUUUUCUCAUUGAAAAGUGUCGAUAUCCCGUCAAUCCUUUCGUUUAGAGCAGCUGUAGCGGUUGCUUGAGCUUCUAUGAACUGUCUGAUUACGCCUUCGAGCUGACUCAAUAUGUUGCUGAGCUAGACGUUCUCGUCUUGCUGGAGAACCUGGUGAGGUAGGCGAUGCAUAGAAUAUCUAGGGUUUGCCAUUUGAGGUGCGUAGGGCUCCUUCUGGAACGUUCUGUAGUCUUUGGUUCGAAUUUCUUCGUAGAGAUCUCGCAGGUACUGCUUCUCUCUGCGUCUGGUGGCUUGAGGAGUGUUAUAGAAACCUUCCUCAUAGCGUAUAUUUCGAUUUAUAGGAUCCAUAUCUUCUGAAAUGGAAACAAAAUAACCAAAAAAUGGAAAAUUGCAGAAAAGGGGGUUCUAGAGUCGAUUUACCAACCUUUCUCGGGGCUUUGCAGAAAAGAAAACGCGUGCUUUCCCCGGCAACGGCGCCAAAAACUUGAUUGUGGUGGUGAGUGAGGGUUGUCAAGUUUUACCCUAAAUGAAAUCAAUAGCCGCAAGUGCACAGCUGAUCGAUUGUAGUACUUAGGGAUCGAAUCCACAGGGAAGGAGGAUCUUUUCCUGCAAAAAGCCUUUGAAAUAAGUAUAAAGUAAGGAAGUCUAUAACCAAAACGGUUUUGUGGGGGUUUGGUGGUUUGUUUAAAAUGUAAAAACGAAAUCUUAAAAGAAAAUACAGGAAUUAAAUGACCUAAUAACUAAACUUAACGAAAAUGAAUAAAAAUGAGAAAAACGGAUAUUCUAAUUGCUUAAAUGAAAAUCUACUAAAAAGGAAAGACAAUAUUGAACUAAAGCUUGAAAUAGAAACGGUGUAAAUCAAUAGGAAAGAAGGCGUUGGGGUUCAGGGAAGUUUUCUCAGGGGUACAAACGAUUCAAAACAUUGCUAGAGAGUAAAUUUGAUAAGAUCUUAGCUUAAACUUUUCGAACUGGAGUCACGGACGUAUGAAUACGCCAAUGUCGUGAUCAUAGACAACUAUCUCUCUCAACCCUGACCAGUAGGUUUCGACUCUGGCCCUGGAAGAGAAGAGAUGCAUUAUGUUUAAGACUCAUCCUCAUUCACAAAUCGCCCAUAGGUAGGUUUCCACUCCUAUGGUUGUUUUGCUCUCCCAAACUAGAUCUGACACCGGAUGAACACUUUCAUGUCACCAAGCAUCUGGAUCAGAUUGUAGUUCAUGACGCUACUCUCAUGCAGUAAAAACGAAUUCAGAAGAAAAAGUUCUAAGAUUCGGCUCAAAAGCACAUGGAAUCCUCAUCGAACAUAUAAAUCCCCAUCAAAAAUCCCUUAAUCCCAACAAUAAAACUACUCAGAUAUAAUGAACGGAAUCAAAAACAUAGUAUUAAUAAGUCGAAUAGAAACCGAAAUUGAAAAAGAAAGAACAAGGGUUCAAGAGAACAAAUCUCUCUCUCCCUAAAAGCUAAAGCAAAAACAAUAAAAGUAUGAAGUAAUUCGGUGGUCUAUGAUCGUUCUUUGAUUAGGGUUCCUAAAACAUGUAUUUAUAGUGCUCUGGACAUCACUUAGGGUUUCUAUCCAUUUUGUUAAGCUUUUCCCUAAGUUACCUGAAAAAGAGUUUUGGAACUACAAAUACUAGAAAAACUUAAUAAAAGUACUUAAAAGCAAUUAAAAACAUAGAAAAAGUAUUUCAAAACGAUCCAUAAAAAUGGUCAAAAUACGGUGUUAUCAUUCAAAAGGAUACAUCCAUCUAAAUUGCACAUCCUCCAAGGCUAGCUUCGUGUGGUAAGUGAAUUGGGAAAUGCUCCAUAACAUCAAAAAAAGAAGGAGGAAAUAUCUUCUCUAGGUUACAGAGAACCAUACAGAUAUUAUUUUGCAACAUCGCAACACUAUCUUUGUGUAUAAUUCUUGCGCAUAUGUCUCGGAAAAAUAAGCUAACACCUACCAAAAAAAAGAUUUUUAUAUGAAUUAGAAGUUUUAAUCAUAGUGUAUAAUAUAAUAACAUCACACAUGCCUAUUAACACUUCUUCAAAUUAAUAUAAAAAUGUUGAAUACUUACUAGAUAAUGAAUCGUAUACAGAUUUAUCCAUAAUUUGCUUCUACUCCCUUAAAACCGGAUGAAUCUUGCAGAUCGUAAUGUCCGAAAGUAAAGGUAUUAUUGUACCAUUAUCAUUCUAUCUGUUCCAUCUCUAUUCUUUAUCUCUUUCCUACUUGUUUCUUUUCAUUCAUUUGCAGGCGAUAGAGCUUAUUAUGAUAUAGCUUAUGAUAGUAGAUGCUACGGUCAAAGCUGAUGAUCACUUGGGUUUUCGUCUCACAUUGAUGACCCAUGUCUAUACUUGAGGGUACACGCCUUCCUCACAAGACAAAUCUUUCCCUUUGUGCAACAAAUUCUUUUGCGUUUAUGUAUAAGUUUUGUUCUCCGUAAUUGCAGCUGGACUAUUCAAUCCUCAAAACCAUUGAACUAUCUCCAAAUGAAAAACUUGCAGAAGCUAAAGAUUUGAUACUCCGUAUUCGUAGAAGGCAACUGUACCAAGUAAUAAUACGAUCUUACCGGUUUCCUCCUCCUUAGUUUACACUUGAUUAGAUUUAACACUUCCCUCCUGAAAAGUUGGCUUUUUUAUAUAGUGGCAGUUCGGUAGCUAGUAUGUGGUUCCAAUGGACAAAAUAGAUCAUUUCAAAGCUGUCACUGCCCAGGAAGUCAUCUGUUCUCAGGUUCGUAAUCUAAAACACUUAGCUAAAUAAGAGGAAAAAUUUGUUGCAGUCUCGUUGCUAUACUGAUCACUUUUCAUUUAACAGAAGCAUACUAGCUUAACAUUGAAAGAAGAAGAUAUCGCUGAUACCAACAUCAAGAUUGAUUUAGCUCGUGGAAGAGAAAUCCUCUUGAAUGGUAAGUAUACAAACACUAUUUAAGCUUCAGCAUCCUUAAAAUGAAUUGAUCCAAUAGAUCCUUCACUAAAAUACUCUGCUCACUUUUUCAUAUAUAGAUCCGAACUUAUUUAUAACUCUUUUAGUAUGAUCAUACAUCCAACUUGCUCAUUUACAGGUUCUCGACUCAUUCAAAACUAUCCGAAGAAUAUAAGAAGAUAAGUUUUCAAUUUAUACACCUGCUCAUUUAAUUCCAUUGGACCUUUACCCACUAUCUUACUAUAUUUCCUUAGAUAGUUACUUUAUUAUAUAGUCUCUUGAUUUGGAUUAGGUUAACUCUAGCUAUUUAUAUAUAAUGAAAUGUUAUUAAUUUUACCUUAAUUUUUAUAACACGUCCUCAACUUUCUUUAGCCGCGUUGCCAAAAAUUUCCCACUAAUAUAGAAGCGCUACAAAAUUUUUAUCCAUCUCCUCCACUCUAUAUCAUAACCGCUCACUUCCCUUUAAAUUGAAGCACUUUGUAUUUUUUUUUUUCAGUUUCGACGACACUUCUUUUUCAUUGAAGCGACUUGUUGUGUUUCAGUUCUGAGAUUUCAUUUGAAGGUAAUUCUACAAAUCUACUAAUUCUGGAUUUUUAGAAGUUAAUCUAGAGUUGAAUUUGUAUAUCUUCUCUUGAAUCUGUUUUUCUCUCAUGUUUUUAUUGUGUAGGUAUGGAAGAACCAUAUGUGGAUCGGACAUUUUUGCCUUUGCUGCAUCCGUCUCGUCAAAACGGAGCUAAGUGGUAUGUAAUAUUUCGGGAAUUCUCUUACAGAUAUCAAAAAUAAUUUGGUUUGCUCUGUACGAUACCAGGAUUUACAAUUAUAAAAUUGUAGUGUAGCUAUGCAUGUUGAAUACAUACGUAGGUUUAAAACCAGAGUAACACAAGUUCUUCACAAUGAAUACGUAGGUAUAGAAUACAGUUUCAUCUUAUUAGUAGUAAGUAUCAACGAGUAAUUAAUCUAUUUCAAUUAACCAGGUUUGGACACCAUACCCAAGUAUCAACAGCUGUCAGGAAGAGUAUUCAAAGUUGUUUUAGAGGACCAUGGCACUCUUGGAAAAAAGUGUCACCGUUCUACAAACGAACAUGGUUUGAAUUGUUUAAGGUAUUCUUUGUUUCCCGGUUCAGUUGUUUCUCGUACAAAUAAACCAUUUCCAAAUUAAAUAAUUUUUUUGUAGACAAAUUUUAACUGGCAUGUUAACAUCAAUGAUCAGGUUGAAAGUGAGUUUAAUAAGCUUGCUGCUUAUCGCCUCAGAGGAAUGAUAUGCCAUGCAAAAAAUCAAGGUCAAAAACCAGAUUGGAUUCUGCUUGAUUAUUGGACCCUAAUGCAAGCUCAUUGGGCAACACCAAAAGCAAAAGCCAACAGUGAGAAGGCUCGAGCUUCUAGAUGGUCUGAUCGCAAUGGUUUAGGCCCUCAUUCUCACCUUGCUGGUUCAAGAUCCUGAGCCAAAGUUCAAAUAUUUUGGUAAUGAAAUUUUUUUUUAUUGCUAAUUUUGAGUUUUGACUAUUUUUUUAUUGUUUCACUUUGUUUUAUCUUUUUGUUUACAGGAAGCAACGAUGAAGACUAUUCUUUUAUUGCUGUGAUAAAGAAAGUGCACCAGAAGCGUAAUGGGACUUAUGUUGAUCAGCGAGCAAAAAUACAAGAACGCCUGGAACAACUUGUAGCUGUCGGUGAAGAGAACGUGUCUGCUGAAAGUCUUGGCCAAACUGUAAAAAUGAAAUUUAUGUCAAGGUAAUAUUUCUAAACUUAUAUUAUUUUGGAUUUUUUUUUUGAAAAUGUGUUUGUGUUUUUUGGCUUGAUUAGUGUGUUUGUGUUCAGCGUAAUUGAAGCAGGUGUAAUUACAAAUUCUUUUGGCUUGAUUAGCAUGGUUGUUUUCAGUUAGGCGUGUUAGUAUUUGGUUUUUUAGCUUGAUUAACGAAUGCUUUUAAUAAAAAAAAAAGAGAUUAGUGACUUUGUUGUGGUCAUCAUUUAUUUUUAUUUUGUUUUCUAUUCUAGGCUGUUGCAUCUGCUCCUGGGUCUUCUAAACAGAACCAUAUCUCUGGACUUGGAGCACUAAGUGGGGUUUUACCAUCUGUUGAAGCUUCUCCAAAUCAACCACAGGAUGAUAACUCGUGUGCAGGAAUUGGAAGCUGAACUGAAACAGAGCCAUGAAGAAAAUCAGCAAAUCAGAAAAACUUGUUCAGUGUCUUGCAAAUCAGAGUGCAUAGAUGAUGUGGUCGUGUCGAGGAUUGUCAAGUUUUACCCUAAAUGAAAUCAAUAGCCGCAAGUGCACAGCUGAUCGAUUGUAGUACUUAGGGAUCGAAUCCACAGGGAAGGAAGAUCUUUCCUGCAAAAGGCCUUUGAAAUAAGUAUAAAGUAAGGAAGUCUAGAACCAAAACGGUUUUGUGGGGGUUUGGUGGUGUGUUUAAAAUGUAAAAACGAAAUCUUAAAAGAAAAUACGGGAAUUAAAUGACCUAAUAACUAAACUUAACGAAAAUGAAUAAAAAUGAGAAAAACGGAUAUUCUAAUUGCUUAAAUGAAAAUCUACUAAAAAGGAAAGACACUACUGAACUAAAGCUUGAAAUAAAAACGGUGUAAAUCAAUAGGAAAGAAGGCGUUUGGGUUCAGGAAAGUUUUCUCAGCGGUACGAACGAUUCAAAACAUUGCUAGAGAGUAAAUUUGAUAAGAUCUUAGCUUAAACUUUUCGAACUGGAGUCACGGACGUAUGAAUACGCCACUGUCGUGAUCUAUAGAAAAGAGGCGCUGGGUUUCAGGAAAGUUUUCUCAGGGGUAUGAACGAUUCAAAACAUUGCUAGAGAGUAAAUUUGAUAAGAUCUUAGCUUAAACUUUUCUAACUAAGGUCACAGACGUAUGAAUACACCACUGUCGUGAUCAUAGACAACUAUCUCUCUCAACCCUGACCAGUAGGUUUCCACUCUGGCCCUGGAAGAGAAGAGAUGCAUUAUGUUUAAGACUCGUCAGCAUUCACAAAUCGCCCAUAGGUAGGUUUCCACUCCUAUGUUUGUUUUUCUCUCCCAAACUAGAUCUGACACCGGAUGAACACUUUCGUGUCACCAAGCAUCUGGAUCAGAUUGUAGUUCAUGACGCUACUCUCAUGCGGUAAAAAUAAAUUCAGAAGAAAAAGUUCUAAGAUUCGGCUUCAAUAGCUCAUGGAAUCCUCAUCGAACAUAUAUAUUCCCACCGAAAAUCCCUUAGACCCAACAAUAGAACUACUCAGACAUGAUAAACGAAAUCAAAAACAUAGUAUUAAAAAGUAGAACAGAAAUCGAAAUUGAAAAAGAAAGAACAAGGGUUCAAGAGAUAGAUCUCUCUCUCCCUAAAGCUAAAGUAUAAAAACAAUAAGAAAACAAGAUGGUGUAAAAGGUGAUGAUACGAAUUAGGGUUCCUAAGACAUGUAUUUAUAGUGCUCAACACAUCUCUGGGCGUCACUUAGGGUUUCUCCAAAUGAGGGAAUCAUUUUGGGCUUCAGAAAUGGGCCUUCGGGCUCGGAGUUGGCUAGCCGCGGUCGGGAUGUGCGUGACCCCGGGGAAUGGAUGGCUGGCCGCGGUCGGGAAGCCUCUGACCGUGGUGAAAUGGCUGUUGGUCGCUGGUGGAAAUGCUUGCCGGCUGGUUUACGGGAUAUCUUGCUCUUCGCGUAUCUUUUGCUUGAACCGUUGGAUUGCCAAGCUGUAAAGUGUGCUGGAAAGCUGAUACUUCCAUCUUUGAGAUAUCCAAAUUUGAACUGGAUCAGGCGGUGAGAAGGUCUUCAAUCGGGGGUGAACUUAUGACGGUUUGACUCUGAGCUGAAAAUCUGGUUUUCUAUCCAUUUUGUUAAGCUUUUCCCUAAGUUUCCUGAAAAGAGUCUUGGAACUCCAAAUACUAAAAAAACGUGAUAAAAGUACUUGAGAGCCAUUAAAACAUAGAAAAAGUGUUUCAAAUCGAUCCAUAAAAGUGGUCAAAAUACGGUGUUAUCAACUUCCCCAGACUUAAACCUUUGUUUGUCUCCAAACAAAGCAAAAGUCUAAACUGUUUAAGUGAAAACAAAAAUAGGAAAUUCACAAAUCUCAAAGACAUGAACUCCUAAACUAGGACCAAAGAUCGUGUAUCAAUCCACAACUUAGUCUAGAAAAUUCUCACCAAGACACAAAAGAUACUAGUCCACUUUUUCCGUCAUGCAAAACUUAAAUAAUCUAAAUCUUGAUUCCAGUCAACUAGCUCUCUACAUUCAUUAAGUGCAAUAGUGAAUUCUCAUUAAAGACAUCAUUCAGGUUAGACGGCGUUUGGCAUUAAAGGACUGUUUAAGUGGUGGAGUUAAAGUGUUUCGGGUUACCUGAUGAAUCUGGAGGAUGCAAGAUAAUAUGCAAAACCGCAAGAGAGAUAAGAAGCUGUUGAUGACCGUAAUUUUCAGUCACUUCUUCUUGCCAAAUGUUGUUAAAUAAUCCUUCUUCCUUUGUUGUGAACAGCUAUUCCCCCAGACUUAGAUUCUUUUUGGGAAUCAGAAAAUAAUCUCUAAAACUCCAAAAAAUCGAACUACAGUUGCCUUGGGACUUAAAAUUCGACCUCUCUAGACUCUCUAAGGCUUUUAUCUCCUUUCUUUUCUUAUUUUCGGAUUUUGUUUUUUGGAAAGGGUAUGCCUUUUAAGGAAAAAGACUAGAGGACGAGAUUAUACCAAAAUUUGAGAUUUUUCUAAUGUGUUGAAUUAUUCCAGGAAGUUUUCCAGCAAAUCGCAGGUCUCUGUCUUUGGUGACUGAAAACUGUAUCCUUCCUCUUUCUCUCCAACAUUUUUACACAUAUCUGCAUAUAAGAUAAUAGAAAACAAUAGUGCAUGUGGUUUGAAAGAGGAUUGGUUAAGGUGUGGAACUAGCCAUUUAGGAUCAACAGAGAGUGGUAAAAAGGAUAAAAGAGUCCUGAAUAUAUGAUUCGUUUCCCUGGUCUAAUGCUUCAAUGAGAGAGUUAAGUCCAAGUUAAGUCCAAAUAAAACAGAGCUAGUGUAUUCCUUCAUCUAAAUCGAAAUCAUUCAAAUUCCUCUGGGGUACUUCGUUUCAAAUGUGCUUAGCUACCGCCUAGUCUAGUCCUAAAUCAUGAAUGAGCAUGUCACUAGGAAUAGUCUAAAAGUACACAGUCAACUAUCAUUGAUUCAUGUUCACCAUUCACUUUAAAACGUAUUUUGUUUUGAAAACUGAUUUUGAAAAACUUUAAGGAAAAUGCAAAAAGUGUAGAUAAUGCAAGACUCAUGAAAUAAAAGUGGUUAGAAAGGGAUGAAUCCUCCCCCCCAGACUUAAAUCAGACUGUCCUCAGUGUGAAACAAGUCGAGAUUGGAUGAGAAAAAUGCAUAGAUAAUCGAAUUUGUAAGGCCAAAGAGAACUUACCUGGAUCUGGGAUGCUCGUGGAGAUGGAUCAGAUCUAUUUGGAGAGGUUUGGGAAGGUGAUAGGUGGUGAUGAAGAUGGUGGGAAGUGAUGAAUGAGGUGGAGUGGGGCUUGGUGAGGUGGAAUGAGGUGAAUUGGGUGGUUUGGGGUCGGGUAUCAUCUCAACGACCAUUUGCCAUGGUCAGGAGUCACGCGACCGCGGCAAACUGGUGCUCGGCCGCAGUCAGAAAGACGCAGCUGCGGUCGAAGAGGUGUUUCCCGCGGUCAGAACACCUGCGACCGCGGGGUCUUAAUAUGCGGCCUGUUCCUGCUUCUCCAUGGUUCCUGCUGGGCCGAGAAAUUACAGGGACAGUCCUUCUUUUUGGUUUUUUUGGUUUUUGAUUUUUUUGGCUUUUUUUUGUUUUAUAAGAAACACCUGAAACUAAGAAAAAGAAAAAGAUAAAUAGAAAAAGAAAGAAAAAUCCUAAAGAAAACAAUACCUAAAUGGGUUGCCUCCUAUUAAGCACUUUUGUUUUAAGUCGUUUAGCUUGACUUUGGUGUUGGAUGUGGCUUAGUCCAAAGUGAUAGACUGAUCAUAUCAUUGUAGCAACUGAAUAAAAAAAAAACAAAAAUAAUAAAGACAGAUGAUUACUAAGUUAUAAAAGGUAAUCGAAAAGUAUGCGGAUAAAUGGAAGGAUGAAAGAAAGAGAGAAAAAAUUGAAUAUUAAUGAUAUAUUAUUCCAAUUUGGAAAGUCUAUGAGAUCACUGUAAGAAAAACAAUGUAAUAAAGCAUCAAUACAGAUUCAGUCAUAAUAAUUAGAUAAAUCUGUUCCGAAACCAAAAAAAUUAAGAGCCUUGAGCCAAUAAAAACUGAGAAAAAUGACUCAAAAACAAAUUAAAAAAUGAAAUUCAAAAUUUCAUGUAAGAGCUCCAUUGUAGAUUUCGGGCCUAAUGAUUAAUCAAGAAGCGAUGGGAACGACGGAACCCAUGAAUAUAGAGGAUUCUACUAAAAAAUAAAUCUUAGUAAUUCAUUGGACAGGAUGACGGAAUAAACCAGAAACUUUAUUAUCUAUUCUGAUUUUGAUUCUGAGACCUAGUGAGAUAAACAUAAAACUUAAAUAGAUAUUGAAGGAGUAAAUAUUCGCCGGCGAAAUUUUUUUUUUAUUUGCAAAAAAAAGUAAUAAAAUACGAAAAAAUGAAACAGAUAAAAAAAAUAAGGAUUUGUUAGAAUAUUCUAACUCUAACAAAAAUUACAUUCGAAAUAAUGAUAUUCCAUUAUUUUUAAAUAAAUAGAAAUAGAAUUCAUCUUGGAUUCUAUUCUAUUUCGAAAAAGACAUACACAAAUAUAGAAGAGAUAAGAUUAAAUUUCAAAAAAUCCCAUGAUUAAUUAGGAUUUUAACUACAUCUAUAUCUUAAUUAGUCCUUUUAUUCGCGAGGAGCUGGGAUGAGAAGAAACUCUCACGUUCAGUUCUGUAGUAGAGAUGGAAUUUCGAAUUUAGAAAAAACCCAUCAACUAUAACCCAAAAAGAACAAGAUUUCGUAAACAACAUCGAGGAAGACUAAAAGGAAUACCUUCUCGUGGGAAUCACAUUUGUUUUGGCAGAUAUGCUCUUCAAACACUUGAACCCGCUUGGAUCACAUCUAGACAAAUAGAAGCAGGGCGACGAGCAACGACACGAAAUGUACGGCGUGGUGGGUGGUUUUUUUUAUUUAAUCUAUUGAAUGAGACCAAAAAGAGUUAUCCUACACGGCGAACGAGAUAAGUCACAAAAAUAGUUAUUUAUUUUAACUAGAUUUUUAAAACUUGUAAUUAGCAAUUUCUAUUUUUCUAGGUUUAGGUUUUUUUCUUCGAGAUUAUAUAGAAAAUCAAGUGAAAAACCAUCAUCUUUGUAAUUAGUUAAAGAAAGAAAAAACCUUUGACUUGAAUACAACAAAACAAUGCACGCAUUACAACUAUUUAGUAUUAAUUUUUUUUAAUUAUUUGUUGUUCGUUUUAAUGGAUCCAAAACUAUUCUUCUUUUUCUCGUUACUGGAAAUUAAGUCCUUAAAAUGAACCAAAAAGCAAAAGGGGGAUCACAUUAUCAUUAAAAAAAAGAUUUUCUACAAUUAUGCAUAUGCAACGAAAAGAAAAUUUAUGGAUUUUUGAUUCAAUGGACUUGGAACAAUAUGCGAAUUUCCUUAAUGAAUUAUUAUAAUUAGAAACCAACCUCUUGGAUUUUUUUUUAUCUAAUCUUUAGUUUAUUUUCUAGUCCAAAACGAAUAAAGGAUCAAAGCCACUCUAGAUUACAGGAAUUUAUAGAAGUGGGACAUGGUUAUACAUCGACAAGCAAGAAAAAAAAAAAGAAAUAAAUUAUCUAACACCUCUUUUCUAUACUAAUUCAAAUUCCGUUGCUGUGUCAGAAGAAGGAUAGCUAUACUGAUUCGGUAGACUCUAAAAAUACCCUUGGUACUUUAUUGACGAUCUCACAAAGAUGUAAUUUCAGUGAAUUUGAAUUUACUUAUUCAUCUUUUACAGAAUCGAUUCCCUACGAGAAUAUCUGGAGUUCAGUAUGUCUGGAAGCACAGGAGAACGUUCUUUUGCUGAUAUUAUUACCAGUAUUCGAUACUGGGUCAUUCAUAGUAUUACUAUACCUUCCCUAUUCAUUGCGGGCUGGUUAUUCGUCAGCACCGGUUUAGCUUACGAUGUGUUUGGGAGCCCUCGUCCAAACGAGUAUUUUACAGAGAGCCGACAAGGCAUUCCAUUAAUAACAGGCCGUUUUGAUCCUUUGGAACAACUCGACGAAUUUAGUAGAUCUUUUUAGGAGGACCCAAUGACUAUAGAUAGGACCUAUCCAAUUUUUACAGUGCGCUGGUUGGCUGUUCAUGGACUAGCUGUACCUACCGUUUCUUUUUUAGGGUCAAUAUCAGCAAUGCAGUUCAUCCAACGAUAAACCUAAUUCAAUUAUAGAGCUAUGACACAAUCAAAUCCGAACGAACAAAAUGUUGAAUUAAAUCGUACCAGUCUCUAUUGGGGGUUAUUACUCAUUUUUGUACUUGCUGUUUUAUUUUCAAAUUAUUUCUUCAAUUAAGAAAAGAACGUAGAAUAAUAAAAUAAAAAAGAAAGAAAAGUAAAUUUCUUAUCCCAUUCGGAUGGAUUAUAUAUCAUAAUUAUCUCUGACUGUUUAUGUUUCUAGCAUGACCACUCGAUGAAAUGUGGAGGGAAGCGGGAUAAAUGGCUGAUACUACUGGAAGGAUUCCUCUUUGGGUAAUAGGUACUGUAGCUGGUAUUCCUGUGAUCGGUUUAAUAGAUAUUUUUUUUUAUGGUUCAUAUUCCGGAUUAGGUUCAUCCCUGUAGAAAUUAGAUGAACUGAGUUAUAGACGUGAAAACAUAAGAACUCAACGGGACCCAACUCUUUCUUCCUUGUCUGAUACGAGGGGGUCCCGUUGAACUGCUAAUAAUCAGAACAAUUUUUAUCAUGUUGUUGAAAAAUGAACUUAAUUAGAUUAGUAGAUUGCAAACAUAUAGUAUUUAUUAACCUUUCAAAGAUAGAAUAAAAAAGGGGAAUCACUUAAUUCCUUUUUCUGCUUUCCCAGCUGACACACUAUUUUUUAUCAUCAGAUCUAUCAUUAAAAUUUUGUCUAUACUAUAUAGAAAAUAGAAAUAGAAGUUUUUUCUAAUUUUUUUAUUUUAGGAUUUCAUCAAAAUUGAAAUCAAGUAAAUAAAACUACAAAAAAUAACUACUAUAUAUACUAUUAAUAAAUAAAUAAUUAAUAAUUAUCUAUACUAUUAUUACUAUAUAUAUAUUAAAACCUUAUAUAUAUAGAAACAGUAAUAUAUAUGGAAACUAAGAAUCGAAUCAAGAAGGACAAGAUCAACACAAGAAAAGGAAUUUUAGACAUCCUUUUCUUGUGUCGAAGACUCCCUAUAGUCCCUAAAAUUUGUUGUUUCGCCGAUUUAUGGUUCCCCCUUUUUUUCUGCGCUUGCUUUCCUUAUCUUAUUUUAGUAUCUAGUUAAAUUUUUGUAUUCUAAUAGAAAAAGCUCUUGAUUAUUGAUACAUUCUAUCAAUUUAAAUUGGUCACUAACGACGGAGUUCCAUCACACCCCUUCCCAUUUUUCAAAUUUGUAUUGAAAAAUCAAGAAAAGGGGGUAAAGUGAACUCUUCUCAAUAUACAUACUAGAAUUAGGACUAUGAUACAAGUAAUUCCUGGCACCUGGUCGAAAAGGAAUAAAAAAUCGAAAGAGAGGCAAAAGACUUUUCAUAAUUUUUUUGGUUCUUUUUUACGAAUUUUAUAAAGCUAAAUAGACAGAUCUAAAAAUUCAUUUCGGAUAAUUGAAUCUUCUCAAACUGUUUCUUUUUAAGAACCAAAAAGAUUUGUGCCAAAACAACCGAUCCUAAGAAGAACAAAAGGCCUUGGACACGUAAUGGAUCUUGAAGUACUAUUUCCGCAUCCCCCUGACCAAAUCCACCCACAUUAGGAUUACUCGUUAAUGGUUGAUCGAGUUUAAUGGAUUCGCCCUCUGAAACAAGAAGUUCUAGGCCUCGAUGAAUAAUAUCAAUCACUUGGCGUUCAUUGGAUGCAUCCACUAUGGUUAUUUCGUAUCCCCCUUUUUCUUUUCGUAAAAUUUUGCUUAUUAUCCCUCCUGCCGUAGCAUAUCAUAAGGAAUUUUAACAACUACUUCAAAUACAGUAUCAGGAAGUACCGCUUGUGGAACCUCAAUAUCCACAGGCUUACUAGCUAAAUGGCAAUUGGCACAUACAAUAUGCCCAGUGGCUUCUCGUGGAUUUUCAUAAUUCUGCUGGGCAAAAAUCGAAUAUCCACUUGAAAUGGAUGCCCAAGUUAUUAUAUAUAUCAUGAGUGAGACAGAUAUGGAGCGAGUAAUCUCUUCCCUUAUCCAAGAAAAGGUAUUUCUAGUUUGCAUGGUCCAAUCAUUUAUCCCGAAAAUUUCUACAAUAAAGUUAGGUAGGUCGAUAAUAUACUUCCCUAGCCAUAAUUCUGCUAUUUAUAAUUACUGAAAAAAAGAAAAAUUUUUUUGUUGAAAUAUACAAGGAAUCCCUCAUGGGUAAAAAGAGUAAAGUAAAUACGACUUUGAUUUGGUUAUGAUGUAUAAGGUAAGAAAGAUUAGAAUUGGAUCAGUGAAUCACUUUUUAGUCAUUUAUUGCAUGAUAAAUCACUACAAGUGACGGAGAUACACGAUUUAAAUAACGAAAGAUCCAAUAUUUAAAAAUUGUAUCAAGAAUGACUGGAAAGGUAGAAACUAGACCAGAUAAAAUUUGCUCAUAAUGAGCAAACCCAAAAUCUUUGUAAAUAUAACCAAUCAUUAGUUCCCAACCGUGAGGCGAAUGGAAUCCGAUACAUAAAUCAGUUAAUAAAAGAAUCGAAAAAGCUUUAAUUGUAUCACUUAAAUUAUAUAGGAAUUCUUGAACCCAAGAAUUCAGAAUAAAAAGCUUUUCCUUACCCCAAAAGGAAUAACCACUUAGAAUAACGAAAGAUAUUAGAUUUGUCGAGAAGUGCAAGAUUGUAUGGAUACGAUACUCAUUGUGUAUCUUGAUAAACUGGAUCGUUUCUUUGUGGAUUCCUAGACGAAAUUGUUGUAAAUCGGUUUCUGGGUAUUCUUUUAUCAUUUCAUCCAGCUGGAAUAGAUCCUCUAAUUGUAUGAAUUUUUCUAGAACACUUUUUUCUUGAAUAUCAAUCAAAAAAGUUUCGCAUUGUCUAGUAUUCCACCAAUUAGUAAUCCAAGUUUUCAAACUUUUAUUACAGCAGAGAGAGAUCAACCAGGGCAAAAAUACUAUAGAUGUAAAAUAAAAAAAAGGAAUGAAUGCUUUCUUUUUUGCCAUUUUGAAUCUGUGAAUUGUUAAUGAACCUACCGCAUUUGUUGAUUCUAUUAGAUCUAAUAUUUCUAUCGAGCAUGAGUUUCUAUUCUAAUUCGAAUAGAAUGUAUUGAGCCUAUGAAUCCAUUUUAUCUUUUUCUUUCAAUACUUAGUCUUUGCUUUGAAUCUAGAAAGAAUACAGAAAUAGACUAAGAAUACACUUCCAAUUUGAAUGAAAAAUUGGAUUUACAGGAUGUUAUUCUCCCUUUUUUCGAUCAAUACUAAAAGAACUUUUUCGAAUUUUAAAAAUAAUAAAAAAUUAUUCUAUUUUAAAACCAAGAAACUCCCUUUCUUUUCUAUCAAAUAUAAAAAAAACGAGCAUAAAAGAAUAGAUUAAUGUUCAAUUGACAAAAAAAAAAAAGUUCUUUCGUUUUUUCUUCCUACUGCCAAAGCAUUUAGUAUUUUAAAAUGAAUUCAUUUCAAAAUACUUCAAUUGGUACACGCAAGAAGUAAGCCAAUUCAGCAGCUUUUUGCUCAAUUUCUCGUGUAGUAAAAUUCUCAUCAGUACGAAUUAAAGGAAUAGCCCCUUGACCUCGAAUUUCCAUAUAAAGGACACGCCGAGCAGAAACACCCUCUUUAACUUCUAUUCUGAUGAACUGAAUAUCUUUCAUAAGGAAUCGUAAAAAAAUGCGACGACUUUUUCCAGGAAAUCCCCAACGAAAAAUACGCACUAUUCCUUCUUUUCGGUCGAAAAUGUCAUAACCACUACCCAUAUUCCAAAAAAUGGUACACCACAAAUAGCAACUAAUAAAGAGACCUGCGAUCCCAUUGAAAGACAUUACGAUCCCUUGUGGAAAAAAAGGAUUUGCUGAGAGGCAAAUAACGAUAUAAAAUUUCUACCAAGAUAACUGGAAAUUCCAACCAAUAAGAAUCCUAAUGAACCUAAAAAUAGGAUAAAGGCCCAGCAGAAAUUACUUGUUUUUCGAGACCCCGUUAUAAAUUCUAUCCAUAUAGAUUCUGAUCGCCAACUCAUAUAUAUUAGAUCCAGUUAUACAAUUUUUUGGAAUUGAGAAAAUAUGACUUUCCUUUUUUGUUUUCAAAGUAACUCUCAUCAACUAUUUUGUUAUGAACCUUUACCUUAGGAGUAAUUCCUAGAAUUUUUUCGAAAAUCUCAUUCCUUUAGACGAUCCCCUAUAAGUAUAUACAUACAGAUAAAUACAUUGACUUGAAUUUCAUACAUCGGCCCGAUGAUGAGCCAUUUUUCAAAAGAGCGGAAGUUGAGUUCCCCAUAUCAUAAGUUUACACAUGCAUAAGAGCUUUUUUUAGUUAUGUUUGUAGGAAUCUAUGUGAUACAAUAUUCUACCAAAUGGGUCUUAGCGAAUCGAAGUUUUUAAAAUAAAAAAGGAGUGAUACGAUUCGGUCUCAUCCGAUCUAAAAAAUCUUAUUUUUUUGAAUAUAAAGAAAUAAAGAAGCCAUUGCAAGUGCCGGAAAGACUAGGCCUACUAAAGGCACAAAAAUAGAGGGUAAGUUAUUGAAAGUUGUCAUAAAAUGGGUACCUCAAUUUAAUAUUUAUACCUGUUAUUGUUAUAUUCUGAAUUCUAAAGAUAUCUUAGAAUAUCUUGUAUUUUUAUUAUUUCUAUUAUAUAUAUAUUAUAAUUAUACUAAGUAUCUUUAAGGAAAUAUAUAUCUAAUACUAAUAUACAACCUAAUCGAAAUAGAAUCAAAAAAUAGGUACAAGAAACGCCAAACUAAAUAAAUGGACUUAUUCAUCUUUCAAAAUCAAAUAGAUAUAUAUAAAUCCCCUUGUUAGAUUUAUUAUUAUUUUUUUCUUCUAAUAGUAAUUGAAUUAAUAAAGAAAAAAUUUUAUUCCAUUACAAAUUUCUACAAAAUUGAUUGGAAUCUGAUCCAACAACAGGGAAUUGCAAAAAGAUGCAAGACUCUCUAUAGAUCUGUAUAUAUCUCUAUUUGAAUUAUCUAUACAUAUGCAAGCACGAGAUGAAAAUAAACUUUGUUUUAUUUGUCUAGUCUAAUUUGAACUUCCCGAAAGCAAAAAUUCACUUUUUAUCUUGUUGAUAGAGGUUUACUGAGUAGUAAACAAUAAUAUCGAUAACAAAAUGAUUCGAAAGAAAAAUUUAUUUUUCAGGGGUUUCGUUUAAUUCUGAUAAACUAACUGUUCUAAUUAAUUUCAUUUUUGUUCAAAGGAAAAAAAGCAUGGAGCUGAAAUAACUCACUCACAACACCUUUUAAAGGAUUACGUGGUACAAUUGCAUCCAAUAAGCCCUUACGUAAUAAAGAUUCAGCCGCUUGUGAACCUUCAGGCACGGCUUUUUUCAAUGUUUGUUCAAUUACUCUUUUACCCGCAAAUGCAAUAUAGGCAUAGGGUUCGGCAAUAAUGAUAUCCCCCAACAUACCAAAACUAGCUGUCACCCCCCCGGUAGUAGGAGAUGUAAGAAUUGAUAUAUAGAAUAACUUUUUACUUGAUUGAUAAUCACAUAAAACCGAAGAAAUUUUAGCCAUUUGCAUCAAACUUAAACUUCCUUCUUGCAUUCGUGCUCCUCCCGAAGAACACACUAAAAUAAGAGGUAAACGUUGAUUGGUAGCAUACUCGAUCAAACGAGUUAUUUUUUCGCCUACUACGGAUCCCAUACUACCCCCCAUAAACUGAAAAUCCAUAACCCCAAGGGCUACUGGAAUACCGGUUAGUUGGCCUGUACCUGUUUGAACAGCAUCAGUCAAUCCUGUCUUUUUUUGAGCAGAGUCAAUACGCUUUUUAUAAGGUUCCUCCCGUGAAUGAAAUUUAAUGGGAUCCGCAGAGACCAUGUCUUCAUCCAUAGGAUUCCAAGUACCCGGAUCAAUCGAAAGCUCGAUUCUCUCUGAACUAGUCAUUUUCAAAUAAUGUCCACAUUCUUCACAAACAUUCAUUUCUACUUUCUUAUACAUUAAUCCAUAACAAUUGUCGCAUUGAAUCCACAAUUGAUUGUGGUUUUUAGUUAUAUCGAAAUCCUUAGAACUCAUUAAAUUAUUACGAUUCCUAUUAGUUCUUAUCUUGUAAUUUUUGCUUUCACGAAUCUUUCCACUUUCACUACAAAUGAAAUUAUAAAUGUAAUUUUCAUUGGAAUUAUUACUAUCGCUUAAAAAGUGACUAUCAAUACAGAUGUGAGAAUGAAAAUAAAAGUCAAUACAACUAGUAAUGUGAUUAUUACAACUAUAUUUAGUAUCCUUAAUGUAAGGAUCAUAGUGCAGAUCGUUGUCACUUUUAGAUCUAUUAUUCAGAUAACUAGAACUACAAUAACUAUAAAAAAAAAAUUCUAGGUCACUCAAAUCAUUGUUAAUCUCAAAUUUUUUUUUUUUUAUAUCAAAAUAUAUAGAAUAACUAUUCUUAUUACUAUCCCUAACAAAAAAGGUGUCAUCCGAUAUGAAAUUCCGAAUGUCCUUGGAGCUAACUAAAAGAUUAACAUUUUUGUAAUAACUCGAACGCUCAUCCCAACCAUAAAAGUUUUUAUCCAUAUCAUAUAUAAACCGGUCUUUACUUAUAGUAGUCUUUUCAAUAGGAGCAAAACUAUCCAUUGCUUUAUUUAGCUCGCCUCUAUAUUCCAAUUCUCCCUUAGAAAACAUCAAAUUGAACCACGAUUUUUCCAUAGAGCUUCUGGCCUCUAUUUACAUAAAAAUACAAUAACAAUAGAUGAAUAGUCAUUCAAUGAAAAAAUUGAAAAAUGCAAAAUUUUUUUGAAUAGUUCAUUUUCUAUUCAGAGUAAGCAAAGCAUAUCGAUGCAAUUGCUAAUUGCUAAGAUUAUUAAGUAAAAGUAAUUGAAAUUCAUAAAUUUCAAUUAAAAAUGAAAAUAAGGAUUUUCUUAUAUUGUGUAAAAUUCUCAUUAAAAAAAAGAAAUAUUUGUUCUUCGCUUAUGAAUAUAUGAAGAACUUUUUUAGUAAAAUCUCGUAUCUCGUAUACUAAUAUAAAAUAAAAAAAGGUUUUUAUUCCAAUACGGAAUGAAAAGAAAAGGACAACAUGCAGGAUGGGUAGAAGAAGUGGGGAUACUUGGUUCAAGCCCUGACACGAAACUUAAAAAAAAAUACAACAAUCCUAAGAAUCCAUAUUUCAUAUAGGAUUUCUUGUGGACACAACUUUACAAUACAAAAUUGUAGUUGUGUUUAAUCUUCUUUUUUUUUUUAGAUUUUUUAUACCUAGAUAAAUAUGUAUCUAUCAAAAAUAGUAUAUACAAUAGAAAAACUCGGCUCAAUCUUUUUUUUACUAGAAAGAUUGAGCCGAGUUUAAUUGUAAUUAAACUAAUAAAACGAACGUGAAUUACUAAUCUAACUUCUACGCUUGGCCAUCUAAUUUAUCGAUGGUUGGGAAGUUAAAUCUGAUCUCCUUCCAUACUUCACAAGCAGCAGCUAGUUCAGGACUCCAUUUGCAAGUCUCACGGAUAAUUUCAUUACCCUCGACUGCAAGAUCACGUCCCUCAUUACGAGCUUGUACACAUGCUUCCAGAGCUACUCGGUUCGCUACGGCACCCGGUGCAUUUCCCCAAGGGUGGCCUAAAGUUCUGCCACCGAAUUGUAGUACGGAAUCAUCUCCAAAGAUCUCGGUUAAAGCAGGCAUAUGCCAAACGUGAAUACCCCCUGAAGCUACAGGCAGAACACCUGGUAGUGAGACCCAAUCUUGAGUGAAAAAGAUACCGCGGCUUCGAUCUUUUUCAAUAUAAUCAUCGCGCAGUAAAUCAACAAAGCCCAAAGUUGACUCUCUGUCUCCUUCAAGUUUACCUACUACUGUACCCGCGUGAAUAUGAUCUCCACCAGAUAGACGUAAAGCUUUAGCUAGUACACGGAAGUGCAUACCAUGAUUCUUCUGUCUAUCAAUAACAGCGUGCAUUGCACGGUGGAUGUGAAGAAGUAGGCCAUUAUCUCGGCAAUAAUGAGCCAAACUAGUAUUUGCGGUGAAUCCCCCUGUUAAGUAGUCAUGCAUUACGAUAGGAACUCCCAAUUCUCUAGCAAAUACAGCUCUUUUGAUCAUUUCUUCGCAUGUACCUGCAGUAGCAUUCAAAUAAUGCCCUUUGAUUUCACCUGUUUCAGCCUGUGAUUUAUAAAUAGCUUCAGCACAAAAUAAGAAACGGUCUCUCCAACGCAUAAAUGGUUGGGAGUAUACAUUCUCAUCAUCUUUGGUAAAAUCAAGUCCACCACAUAGACAUUCAUAAACUGCUCUACCAUAGUUCUUCGCGGAUAACCCCAAUUUAGGUUUAAUAGUACAUCCUAAUAAGGGAUGUCCAUACUUGUUCAAUUUAUCUCUUUCAACUUGGAUACUAUGAGGUGGUCCCUGGAAAGUUUUAGUAUAAGCAGGAGGGAUUCGCAGAUCCUCUAGACGUAGAGCAGCCAGGGCUUUGAACCCAAAUACAUUACCCACAAUCGAGGUAAACAUGUUAGUAACCGAACCUUCUUCAAAAAGGUCUAAGGGGUAAGCUACAUACGCAAUAAAUUGAGUUUCUUCUCCUGGAACG